GUUGGAUUCAAAAAGAAAAAGAGAACUGGCACCAAGGAGCCCUUAUAGGGUAAUGGAACUAAGAAGCCUCACACUGCACGUGCAUGCUGGAGGUAUUUGAGCAAUGGAUUAGGACUGUGUCAGAAUCAGUGAGACACUAAUGAAAAUUAUUCAAUAUGAGUGACUUGAGAAGGUGAAGGCUGAUCCAACUCUCUUUACAGGAAGUAGGUGAGUGUAAACCACAAUAAGUAAAUAAGUUAUGAUAAUGCUGGAAGAUCCCUAUCCCUUGGCAGGAUGUAAAUAAUCGUUUUCAAUCCAGGCCACUCCAAAGUUCUUGAGAAGGGGAAAAUUCUUAUUAAAAUGAUGUUUGAGGAAAAAUUUUUUGGUAGUGAUUUAUGUCUCCCCACAGAAUGGAGAUACUGGAUUCAAAAGUAAAAGGGACCGAUGAUCCCCUUUUGAUGACCUUGUCUCUGAAGUAGCCAAUUCUGUAUCAAAACCUGAGGAGAGAGAAUAAAUAGACCAGAGGUUUGGGUUCUAGCCUUGAUUUUCGAUGGGCUACGAUUCCUCCUUUCCAGUCUAACAACGUAGAUCUUCUCUUUUUAAACCUUUUUUGUCUCUACUUUUGUAUAUUAUCUGGGACAAGUCACAUCAGCUCUCUGGGUAUCAGAUUCUUCAACUGUAACACAAGCAGGUACAACCAGGAUUAUCACUGAGGAUACUUUUUCAAAUUUAGAAUGAAACUUCAAAUACAAGUAAAUCACAAUCCUAGACACUUCUUCCAUGAGCCCAAGAGAGUGAUUAGUUCAGGGUUGAUUUUAUAAUGUAUGCUUUUUCACAUUUUAACAUCUCUGUUCAAUGUCCUAUAACUGAUGGUACUUUACAAUCAUAAUUUUUUCUUUCUUAGCAGCUCAUAACAUAAUGAUAUGUUGUACAUUUGAAUUUUCUUCUAACUCUCAAAUACAGUUAAGCUCAGAGUAUAUAUACAGGCAGAUCUGUCAAACAUCCAGCGUCACAUUAUUUAGAUGAAUAAGGAGCAGAGAUGGACUAGGACAAAGAGUGUCCAAAGUGGUUGUCACUUGUUUCAUUAAUUGUCGUUUCAGAAAAUUCUCGUGUACUGGAAGAUAAUUCCUCCACAUCUCCUGCUCCACGUCUAUCUUCAUAAUUGACUCUUCCAAAGAAGGCUCAGAGUCCUCAGGGAUUUAUUGGUGAAAGCUUUUAUUAUACUAUUAAUUGCUAUUGUAUUUAUCAUCAUAAUUAUAAUUGAUCCAGGCCAAUGCUUUUCAAAGUGUAGACUAAAACUUAUUUGUGGAUUGAACAAUCAAUACAAUGAGUCACCAUAGUGUUUGAGCAAAUAAAGUAACACAAACUAAAAUAGAAACUCUCAGUAUCCCAUAGAGUGAGAGCAUCAUUUCCUGAGACAUCAUUUCGGAUGUAUUUACUUAUGUAUAUACAUGCAGAUAUUCACACAUGGGAGUACUGGUUUGUGGUUUAAAUUGUAUUUCCAUUGCGGGUUGUGGUCAAAAAGAGAUGCAAAAAUGCCAUUCUAGAGCCUGCUUUGGAGGUGGCUGUGGCUAUUGCAAAUAGCUUUUAGAGGGAGCAAAAACAUAGAGAGAUACUGAAUUUUGAGCAGUAGUAUUUGAACAGAUAAAGUAAUGUAAACUAAAAUACAGUAAUUGAGCAGUGUCUUUGGUCCUCAUGAACGAUUUGGUCCGUUACCACACCAAACACAUUCUGGCAAAAUAAAGGGGAAUAAGUUGAGCAUCCCUAAUCCAAAAUUCCAAACUCCUAAAUGUUGAAUUCUUUGAUCACCAACAUGAUACCACAAGUGUGUGACAGGUUGUGGUCAAAUACAAGCACAUUAAAAAUAUUGUAUAAAAUUAUCUUCAGUCUAUGAGUAUAAGGUGUAAAGGAGACAUAAAUGAAUUCUGUGUUUAAAUGCAGGUCCCAUUGUGAGAAUAUUUUAUUAUGUAUAUCAAAAUAUUCCAAAAUUCAAAACUAAAACAUUUCUGUUCCCAAGCAUUUUGAAUAAAGGAUACUUGGCCUAUACUUUGGAUGGGCUUGAACCCUUAUAAAUAAUCUUUUGUGAAUCUGUUCUAUCUACAGGGGCUGUCUAUUAUCUAGGUUCAAGAGUGUUCUUAUUUGAUGCCCCCUGAAUAUCUAAUUUAACGAAUAAAUCAAUAGAAAUUUAUAGCAAAAAAUUAAUUGACUUCUGACAGUUGGUGAUACAAUUUGUUUUGUAAGAAAAUCCCUGGGGAGGUUCUACUUUGAAAUUUUGACUCAAAUGUUUUAAUAUCUUUUAGGUAGAACACUCACUAAAGGAAAGUGUCAUUGAGGAAGUGGAGAUUGUUAAAUAUCUUUCCUUCCAAAUUGCUCAGAAUGAUAAACAGUCAGGCCCCCUUGCUGGCCUAUCGUCUCAUUCCAUGUUUCCUACACUGACUGUCUGAGCUUCUUCUUUCACUUCUAUUUCAAGCAUCCUUCCUGUACGUCAGAGCAGGGGGUUCCUACAAAGGGGGAAAUGAAACCAGCAGCUGUGAUAAUGAAAGUGGGAAAGUUUUUUUUCCACUAUAACCACUGUAGGUAGGGGAAUCAGUGGCUUAACCAGAGGAUAUCCGUGGCCCUCAGCUUUUCAGAUCAACAUUCUUCUGACUCGCUUUGAGAUUCUGUCCAGGUGUAGGGCCCUGUGAUUCUCUGGGAUCUCUUCAUGCAGCCAUUUCCUUUGAUAAAUGAAGAAACUAAAUCCUAGGCAAGUCAGAUUCUAUCCCAAAGUCAGAAAGUCCAUGACUGGCAGAUGGGAGGUGACUAAAAUGUCCCAUAGAAGAUGGGUUACAUUAAUUUAAUUAACUGCACUUAGACCCUUUCUCAGGGAGACUUUAAAUCUUUGGGAUAGGCCUCAUACCUGACUAAGAUACUUUAAAUCUAUUAUUGAGUUUAUAAGUCUAAGUUUAUAUGUAUCUCCUCUUAGUAGAAUUUAUGGUAGAGGGUUAGAACUAAUAAAUUCUAAUUAAUUUUAUGAAUUAUUUACUCUUGUUUUAAAUUCCUUGCAAUUGUUCGGCAUACUCUAGAGCAGAGUGGGGGGAAAAGCUGUGUUUUCUUUCUCAAGAUGUUUGUGAGAAAUAUUAGUAGUGAGCAGAUUUCCUCCAUGUGGACAUUCUACACAGUAAUUUUCUCUAUCCAUUUGAGUACUGAAAAGUAAUAUCCUCUCCUGUUACCAAGGGCAACACAGAGCACCUGGUUUAAGUGUAGGACUGAGUCACUGAUACUUUAAAAGAAAUUAAAGUGCUCUAUUUAUAAGUUGGAGAAUAUAGGAGAUUUAGAAAGGGAGUGGCCUUCAAAAAAAUCAUUAUUUUGAAUGAGAAAAGGAAGACAGAAUUUAAAAUAAGCAAGAUGAGCAAGACAGAAAAUACUUUCUGACAUGUGAGGGAGCAAACAGCCUCAGAUGUCUUUGAUUAGUGUGUUUUCACAGAGUUGGCUGUCAAGAAACUCUCUAUCCAAAUGAAUUCUGUUUUUCAGUUCAUAGCUCAGUAAAAUAUGUUUUGUUAGAAAAAAAAAGAAUUUAUCUUGAAUAGCAUGGUUAAAACUGACAAAAUAAAAUAUUUGAAAAAAAUUAAAGCAAUCUGAUAAUGGAAUAAUUAUAUUCAAAAUACCAAAAUAUAUACAAUAAUGAUAAAGAUGCACAUCAAAGUUCACUCCUUCAAUCAUUAUGCAAUAAUUUAACUGUUAGUGAAAAUUAAUAAAAUAUAUUUUUGAUAUAUUGAACAGAGAGAUUAUAAACUUACAUAUGUGAAAUUAGUCAUUAGAGUUCUAUAGUUCUUCUUUCUCAUUACUCUUCUUUAAAGAAAAUCAGCAGUCAUCUUAAUAGUGGUUCCUGAAAAAUCUUAAUAUUAAUAGGGGGAAUCUUUGGUGAAAUUUUGGAGGGGUGUGUGUGUGUGUGUUUUCUGUUUUCUUUAUUUUUAAGGUCUUAUAAAAUCACUGUGAAUUAGUAAUAAAUGUGUUUUGAUAUGGGGGGAGGAUUUACCCUUCCUUCCCAUAGAUAUUUACUCUAUCUUGUUUAUAGGCAAUAACAUUUUAACAAUUGGCUAGAAUUUUCUUAAUUUAUGUUGAAAUCACUUCAUUUUUCCUGAAUGUACCUGACAGUUUUGAUUAACAAGAUUAUAGAUGAGAAUAUAAAAUAAAACAAAAAUGGUUGUAAGCAUCCAAAUGAUGUUACAAAGUUCACCCCCUAAAACCAACAGACCGACCAAUUCGACACACUGAAGGUCAGGUGUCCUGCUUAUGUACUAACUCAGCUCCAUUUCCUGUUGCCUCAUACAAACUUUUGUUCACACAGCUAUUUGACUUCUAAAUCCUUAGUAGAUUAGAGACAAAUUAGAAGGAGAGUUUAGGUGGGUAGAGCAGCUGCUGAUAAUGUGGUGACAAGGGACAGAAAAGUGUAAGAAGAAAAUUCAAGAGAAAACUUUUAAACAUCCAGUUGAUCUAGGAAUUGCGCAUGGGAGCAAGCAAGUUCAGAGCCAGGACCCAGCUUAUCACUGUGGAACUGCAGAGACCAUAACUUAAUUUUAACAAUAGUUAAAACUCAGUAAUAAAGGAAAGGCAAGGAUACAACUAGAGUGUACUUUUUUAAGAAAGCAAAACAUGUUAUUUAAUACAAUUUCCAAGUGAAAUAAUAAAAAUAUUCUAGUCUUCAAGGGAUAAAGUUAUCAAGUUAUUGGAUGACUCAUCCCCAGAUGUUUCAGAACAACUUAUUUUUAUUGUAAUUUUUUAAGCUUUUGCUCACUUUUCUCAUCACUUGGAAACAGUUGCUUCUUUGCAAGUAUUAGGCCAACAUUAGGGCUAUUCCAUUAAUAGUUCUGCCAUAGACUCAUACCACACAGACAGUUAAAGACAAGAUUGUAACUGAAUUGUCCUAUUCUUGUUUUCCAUGGAUAUUCAUCCCAGUAUCCACUGUUGGCUAAUAAAUAUCUUGCAUUGUUUCUGUACAUCUAGUGCUGUUGCUGCCUUGUGGAACUUGCUGGUGUAUUCUUUAUGGCAAAGAGCAGAUCAUGGUUAAGAAUUAUCUGGUUGCAGAGCUUAAUCUUAAAAGUUAAAAUUGGGGGACCUAGCAUCUGGGAGUUGAAAACAAUACUGACUAACUGCUGACACAGAACCCCCGAAAUCUCUAUUAUUGCAGAAAACAAAUCAGAAACAAACUUAACAAAAUCCAGUUGGUUGUCAAUGAACCUUUAUUUAUUUAUAUGUGGUGCUGAGAAUUGAAGCCAGUGUCUUACACAUGGGAGGCAUUCACUCUACCACUGAGCUACAACCCCAACCCCAGUUGGGGUUAUUCUUGACCGGUUUAAGUGCCCUUCUUCCUACCCUUGUUCCUUAAGUUUUUCUUCUGUGAAAGUUUCACUUUUGCUAAUGCCAAUCCCCUUUUACCCUUCCCUCUCAAAAUUUCCAUUUCCCUAAUAAGUCUGGAGGUUGUUCUGCUUACUCGUCGCCUCCCACAGCUCCUUGGCCAUGGUCCAGGGCUGGUGGGUGGAGCGCUGUUUGCCAGGGACUGUCUGGGUCAGAAGUGGCUGAGCUGAUGCUCAGCUGGAGAGACAGACACCCAGUCUCCAGCUGCAUGGCUAAGAGAUAAAGGCCUCUUUCAGCGCCCCCUCUCUUCCUCCUCCUAGAUGGAUAAGGGAUCACAGCAGUUUCUUUCUCCAUUUCUGUUCUUUGCCCACCCAUCACAGUCCGCUGUCCCCUUCUCUGUACUGUCAGCUUUCCAGAUGGAGUACAGGGACAGAGAAUUGGGGAGACCCAUCAUUUGUGCCUGGAAACUACACAGGACCUAAAUAUAAAAAGGAAGUGUCCCAUCCAAGCCAAAAUGUCCUCAGUGUCCUCUUGUCAAAGUGUCAAUUUCCACUGAAUUUCUGUAGACAGAUUGUCAUUCCAUUGCUCUUGGAGACAAGGUCAGCAAUCCCUCAGUUAUUGCUGAGGAGGCUCUUUCUCUUCAGCAGACUGAUUUUUUUGUUUUCCACACUGUUCCCCUUGUUCCAAUUUCUAUUUUUCUUUCCCCUUUCGCCGCCUGCUCUCUGCUGUACCAACUCAGCCUCCUGCACUCCCGGGGCACUUUCCCAGCCCCUCUGCACCCUUUCCCAUUGGCCCGCACCUGCCGCACGCCCCUCCCACCGCCACCCAUCCCCCUCCCCAUCUCAGUCUUUUCCCCCUUGUUCCUUUAGGUAGUUUCUGCCCAUGAUCCUUAUCUUUUCUGUCCUUCGUGUUCUGUUUGUCUUUCUUUUCCUUUUCCAAUAAACUGAACCCAGCAAGAAGAAAGGACAUUUCCUGCCUGUGAAGUUUUGCCAUUGCACUUUAACAAAAAUAAGCACUGCCAGUAAAAUUGCUUAAUACUAAUGAAAAAUAAAUGUUUGCAGAAAGUUAGGAGGCAGGACAAAAAGUACUUCCUUGCUAGGGCUAAAGUUAAAAUGAGAAGCUCUUAUUAACUUAAAAGAAGAUAAUUUUUUAUAAUAAAUAAUGAGCCAAAGUUGGAAAACUCAGUGGUUAAUAUUCCUAAGGGUCUAUGUUCAGUUCUGUCCUAUUGAGUACUUUUACCUAAUAUUUAAAAGUCUGUCACUCUGUGAAUGAUUUUUGCAUUUUAAAAACUAUUAAUUUUCUUAAUAAAAUAAAUCCAUAGUAAAAAUUUUUAAAUAUAAAAUGAUAUAGAAUAACGAGGGGGAGGGAAGAAUAGAGGAACUUUGGAUUGGGCAGCCAGAGGAGGUUGAGGUGGGCAGGAGGUGGUGGGAAAGAUGUUUGAAUGAGAGGGACACUAUUACCCUAAGUACAGGGUAUGACUGCAGGAAUGGUGUGAAUCUACAUCUUGUACAACCAGAGAAAUGGAAAGUUCUGCUCCACUUGUGUAAAAAAUUAAAUUAAAAAUUAAAAAAAUACCCCAAAUGAUAGAAAGUUGUUCUCCCAUCUACCCAGAUUCUAAGCCACUUUCUCAGAUGCAACCAAAAUGAAUUCAUAAUCAUAACAUGGAUCUGUAUAGAUACAUCAAUAAUAACAUAUGUGUAUAUACAUAAUUCUAUCUUUCUAUAUUUAUUCAUCCCUUUAUUUGGAAUAUAUUUGUAUGUUUGUAUAAAUAUGUCAAAACAUACUCUACUGUCAUGUAUAACUAAAAGAACAAAAAUAAAUAAAUAAAUGGAAGCAUACUAUACAUAUUAUAAUGCAACUUGUUUCAUUCACUUAAUAUAAAAUGGAGUAAAUUCUAGAUCAGCAUCAAAAAUCUACAUUGUUCUUUUCCACUGCUACAUUAGUUCCAUUUUAUUUAAUUUAUCAUAUCUGAGCAAUUCAAAGACUUUUUGAACUUUAGAAGCUUUACAUUCUUAAAAAUAACUGCAGACCUCAAACAAUUCUUUAAUUAGAAAUUAAUCCCCAAAUAUGUUUAAAAUAAAAUAUAUUUUAAUUAUAUCCUUUUAAUCAAUUUAUAAGCCCAUUUCACAUUAACAUAAACAACAUAUUUUGUGAAACUUAAAAUCAAUUAUAUUUUCAAAGAUAAAAAGAUUUAAUGAGAAAAAAAAUUGGCAUUGCUUUAUAAAAUUUGCAGAUCUCUUUAUAAUGUUUGGCCUAAUUGGACACAAAUGGAUUCUCAUAUUUGCUUUUUAAUGCAAUCUGUUACAAAAUAUUGUUUUGGUUGAAAUAUACACAGAAAAUCUGGUUUCACAUAGCUAUGUUGUUGGGGAAAAAGGAGUAUUUUAAUAAUCUUUUCAGAUAAUUGUAAAUGCUUUUCUCUUUCUCUCUUUCUCUUUCAUUGUUCUGGGGAUUGAACCCAAGGCCUCAUACAUGCUGAGCACUCUACAUGUAAUCUGGCUAUGUACCCAGCCCUCUUUUCUAAAACUUAUGCACCUCAGAGCAUUAAUCUCCAGACUAUAUAAAGAACCAAAACAAAACAACAACAAAAAAAACCUUAACACCAAAAAGCAAAAAGUUAAAAAAAAAAAAUCAAUAAAUGGGAAAGGAAAUCAACAUUUAUAGCAGAUCAAUUUAUAAUAGCUAAGCUCUGGAACAAACCUAAGUGCCCUUCAACAGAUGAAAGUAUAAAUAAAAGAUGGUCUAUAUACACAGUGGAAUACUACUCAGUCAUAAAAAGGAUGAACUUAUGACAUUUGCUAGUAAAUGGAUGGAUCUGGAGUGUCAUGCUAAGUAAUAAGCCAAUCCCCCAAAGCCAUGAACUUGACAAGAGCCAGAAAGAACAUUUUAAAUGUUCUCUCUGAUAUGUGGAUUCUAACAGACAAUAAGAGAGAAGGGAAAGAAUAGAAGUUCAGUAGAUUAAACAGAGGGGAAUGAAGGGAAGGGAGAGGGGGAACAGGAAUAGGAAAGACAGUGGAGUGACUGACAUAACCUUCCCAUGUACAUAUGUGAAUACACCACAGUGAAUCGCCACAUCAUGUACAACCACAAAACUUGGAUCCUAAUUAGAAUAAGAUAUACUCCAUGUUUGUAUAAAUAUGUCAAAACAUACUCUGCUGUCAUGUAUAACUAAAAAGAGCAAAAAUAAAUAAAUAAAAUCUAAUUUUGAGACAGGGUCUCACUACAAUGCUAAGCCUUGCCUCAAACUUGUGAUCCUCCUACCUCAGUCUCUGGAGUUGCUGAGAUUAUAGGUGUGCACUACCAAAUAUGGCCAAAGUGGUAAUUUCUUAAGGUUAGUUGCAACAUAGAGUCUGAAACCACAUCAAUAGACUUUUCCUAUUUUGUUAUAUUAAAAUCUGUUGGUCUAUCUUACUGUUUGAAUGAAGCAUGUACCCAUGCAUGAUUUUAUACCAUCAUGCAUUAGUCAUUUGAAAAAGAGUCUUCACUGAGGUAUAUGCAUAUCUCAACCGAGAUAUAUUUUAUUAUAUUGUAGAACAAAAUUAUAUUCAUUAGUAUUGUCAUUAAUCUUCCCAGAAAGUUUUCAAAUACUGGGAUCUUGUCAAGAUCAUGAGGGCAGACAUAAGCUUUCCAAAACUUGAACUUUCCCUUGAAAGCUCAAAUUUUACCAUUGUCAAGAAAUGUGGUCCUUUGUUUUCCUUGAAAUAACAUAUUCAUUUCAUCUAUUUUUGGGUAUCUGCCAUAUACUCAAUUCUGAAUAACUGUAGUUUGUCUGUCAGUCAUUUUUUUCUUCAAGAAAAAUGUUGUUCCAUUAGAGUUCCACGGCAACAAAAACAACUGCCUAAAGUGCUUUUUCUUGAGAUAACCCCCGCAGCUCAGCAUAUAACGGAAAUGCUUUCUGCAUGCUUCUCAUUUUGUUGCAUAGAAUAUUAAAAGACAAGUAUUCCAGGGCCAAGAUUGAAUGAAUUGGUCAUCUGGACUGCUUCAUCAAGGACAUUCUUAAGUAACACUGGCUUUUUAAAAUAAAUGAAACAGUGUGGUGGUGAAGAAUUUAAUGCCGACUCUCUGUGUGAUGUCAUUGCCUUGAUUCUUGCAGUCUUACCCACCACACUUUUGCACUAUCUGUGCAAAUGUUGAAACAAUGAAAAAGGUGAAUAAAGUCUUGGUAUUAUUAGGAAAAUAGCUUUGAUCUCCAUGCAAUUAAGCCUAGAGGUCUAGGAACCACAUUUUAAGUACUACUACCAUGACUUAUUUAACUAAUUCCACCCUUGUUAAUUGUUUCUGGUAUUUUUCUAAUACAAACUUUUACACAAUAAAUAUCCUCAAAUCAAUGUUUCUUGAUAUUUCAUUUUCUCUAUAUGUUAGAUGAUUUCAGCUUCAAGAUUAUUAGAAGACCUAGGAAGUCCUUUAUUUUUUUUCUCUCUCUCUCUCUCUCUCUCUCUCUCUCUCUCUCUCUCUCUCUCAUCACGACUACUAACAUAUAUUUGGUAAAAGGAAAGGCCAACCACCUCUUAUUGUGUAAAUAUCACCCUUGGGUAUAUGAAGAUGUCAGUUGAUCUGCAUUCAGAGAUUCAUAGAGAAGAAGAAAAAUACCCCCCCCCCCAAAAAAAAAAAACCCAGAAGAUAGAGGACUUUGAUCAGUAUUGUGCUAUAAUCCUCUUCAUAGGGAUACUUUGGAAAUUUUAGACACUACCAAAAAAUGGGAGUUGUUGAUUUAGAAAAUAUUUUAUUUUUGAACAAUUGAAUUACUACAUAAAAUAAAUUACUGAUGAUUAUCUAUUUAGUCGCUCAAAAUUACUUUUGAGGAACCUACUGUGUUCAUUCAGCAUAUGGUCCUAAUACUAAGCAUUGCAGACAGUAAAAAUGUAUUAGGGAACAAUCUUCACUGCAAGGACUUGACCAAAAGUGGUUUUAAAGCUUUUGCAAAGUCAGCUGUGAAGACCACAUCCACUCUCUCAGUUUUAGACCUAUGUAUUUACAUAGUGCAAAUAUGUGGUCUUUUAUCUCAUUAGUAACUAAGGUGCCUAUGUAGCCCUGGGCUUACACCGGUUGCCCUCAGCAUACUUGUUAGUAGUACCCUUUCACUCUCCAAAUGGAGAAAUACAUUACAUAGUUAUGUCUUAAUAGUGGACUUAAGAGUUUCUUCCAAGUCUCAUCCUUAGAUUUUUUAUAUAACCCACCAAAAGUCUUUGGUAGAAAAGCACUGUCUAUGUGCUUUGUAUGUUUUCUAUACAGAUUUCUAUACUUUCAAAAAUGCUAUGAGACUAUUAGAUCCUCGUUUUACAGAGAACAAACUGAAACCUAGAGAGUGCAAUGAUUUUCCUAAGGCUGUAGACAAAUAAAUGGCUAAAGUAGGAUUUUUAUGCUUUUACCUAUUUUCAAAAUUCAAGUUCUUUCCUCAGGUUUUCAAAUAGUGUUUCAUGGAACCAACAUCAAAAUCACCAGGGUGCUAAUUCUGAAGGCAGAUUAUGGGGCCUCACUCCAAACAUACUGAACCAGAAUCUCUCAGGACCUAGAUGUCCACACUUACCAGCAGUUCUAUAUGUGAUUCUCAUGCAUUGGGACGCUUAAAGACCAUUGCUUUCAAUUAUACCACUUCCAGAGCGCAGCACCAAUGAUAUCUUCAAAUAAAAUAUAUUUUUCAAAAAUUCAAAUAAAGCAUAAAUAGCAGAGAUCCUUCUUGAAUUUUGUUUUGUCUUGCUUUGUAUCUGGGAUUGAAUGCAGGGGCGCUUAAUCACUGAGACACUUCUCCAACCCCCUUUUUUUAUGAGAUGGGGAGUUGCUUAGGGCCUUGCUAAGUUGUUGAGGCUACCUUUCAAUUUGUGAUCAUCCUGCCUCAGCCUCCUGAGCCACUGGGAUUACAGGCCUCCACUACCAUACCUGCCAGACCCUACUUGUAAACUCUAAUUUUCUUAGAUAAUAAUGUGUAUCUGUUGGCAACUUUGCACAGUUUGUCUUUACUGAUGAUUAAAAUGACCAUUCAUUCUUCCUGUGAACUGCCUCCCUAAGAGAUUUUCCUAGACUCCUUGAAGGAUGAGGUAGAAGAUUUUCUGUGAAAAAGCCAUUUUGUAUGUUCAAUUGCAGUUUUGGCAAUGCUAACUAUGGUAAUAAAAAUAUUCACCCAAAUUUUGCAAAAGUCAUUGGAGUAAAUUAUUUUUCUUAUUAUUGACAAACUAUAAGUAGAAUCAACUUCUUUUGGCAUUCAAACCAAUAAAAUUGUUUAGCAGCUAAUACUGAAAAAAAUUUUGAGAUUUAUUCCUCUCUACCCACUGAAUACUUCCCAUUCAUAGAUUUUAUAUUUGGAGAGCAAUAAAGAUCAACUAAUUCCAUGUGAUGUGACUUGUAGAAUACAUUCCUGAUGCACAAUAUAAUGGAUUUUGAAAUGGAUUUUGACCCACCUUCUCAAGUUUGCCCUAAACAGAAUUAGUGGUUACCUUUUGCCGUCUCUCACCUGUAAAAAUAUCUCAAAUACUCCAGAUCUCUGAUUUUCUUGAAAAAUAUCCUUUACCUUUGUGUUGUGGAUGCAUUUCUAGAUUUCAUACAGGUUUAGUCUUGGCUAUGCUAGGAUAGGACUUUUUGCCUGGGAGAAAGACCGAGGUGAGAUUAUAUCACAUUCUCAGAAAGUUAUCUAGACAGGGGAGAAGUAUGGCUAGAUAGAAACCAGUGUUGAGACAAGGUGAAAACCUCAGUCUAAUCUGGAUCAGAUUCAGUGGUCAAAGUAUGAAGUACAGCUGGCUUAGAAUCCCAGCUACCUGGGAGGCUGAGAAAGGAGGAUCACAAAUUUGAGGCCAGUCUGGGCAACUUAGUGGGGUCCUAUGUCAAAAAAAAAAAGUUAAAAGGGCUGAGAAUGUUGCUCAGGAGAGUAGAACACCCCUGGGUUCAAUACCCAGAACCAUUAAAAAAAAAAAANUCUUUGUUUGUAUGUGGUGCUGAGGAUCGAACCCGGGCCGCGCUGAGCCACAUCCCCAUCCCCAAAGAUGAUUUUUUAAUAGUAAAAGAUGGGUUUAUUCUAAUGAUUUUAAUCUUCCUAUUUAGUUACCUCAGGUGAAUGUGGAAGAGUAGAAUAAAAGAAAGGAUGAUUUGGUUAAGACAUGAUCUUAAGGAAUCAACCAAAUUCAUUCUCCUGUGGUAGCUUUCAGCUCUAUGAUGUUGCAGACAAUUUGUAACUGACUUGUCCAGAAAGCUUGAAUGUUAAGAAAUUAUGUUUGGUCAAUAUCAAAUAUCCUAUAGUUAGCAUCAGAUGCUCAACAAUGAUUUGUCCAUAGUCAUAUAGUUGAAAGAAGGUAAACAAUAAAAACAACUUCAAAAUAUGAAAGAUGUGAUUACUUCUUGAUAAAGUUGUGAAGAUAAUAAGUUUAAAAAUGCUUUGAAAAAAUCUAUUAAGCAUCUCAGAACAAUGGGAAGAAGUAAACACAAUAGUAAUUCAUUUGGCUUUUAAUUAUUCAUUGCUUUCUUUACUAUUUAGAGCAAGAUACUAAGUCUUUUUCUGAAACCUUAGAAUUCUCAUUAUGUUUUUUAAUUCCUCAGCCCCACUUCUCUCCAUAAUCUCUUCCAAAUUUAUUAAAUUACCUGUUACAAAAGCAUUACAGUCUCUUCUCAAGAAAGUCUCUUACAAAAGUCUUUAAAUUGCAUCCAUGAAUUUGAAAUGCUUACUAAUGACAAAUAGGAAUGGCACUUGGUUAUUUGGGGGGGGGGGGCACUUGGUUAUUUAUAAGAGAAUUUGAUGCCUUUUCUUGGUUAAAAAAAUAAAACCUUUUCUGAUUAUGAAAGUAGUACUACUUCAGACUUCCUCAUUAUGGGUUAUGUGGAAAAUUCAGGGAAGAUCAAGAAGGAAGUAAAAAUUUCCACAAAGAUAACCUUGGUUGAUACUUUGGUAUAUUUCCUUCCUACUUACACACAUCUAUGUUAUAGAACUUAGAUUAUCCUAUGGAGCUUUCUACCCAGUAUAACCUUGCUUCACAUUUUAGCAUAACCAUUUUAUAAUAUCAUUAAAUAGAUUUCAGAAAUCUCAAUUUUCAUCACUAAUACCUUUAAAUUACUUUACCAACAACCAAUUCUGGACAUUUUUGUUGUGUCUAAUUUUGUCUUCAUAAACAAUGUUAAAACAAAUAACAAAGUACCUAUACAUAGAUCUUCUAUAAUACUUCAUAAUUAUUCUAGAAAUGAAUGGCAAAGAUUGAAAAUUUUAAAAUUGUACCCUGCAAUGCUUACUUGCAUUUCAGAAAGGUUGUUCAGUCUUUAUUUCUAUUAGCAACAUGUAAGAAUGCCAAUCUCACUAUCCCUCCAUCAGCACUGAAUAUUUUAAUUUUAAUCUUUGCUAAUUCAAUCUGUUAAAUCAUGAUAUCUCAGUGUUUUCAUUUGUAUUGUUUUCUAGUGGUGUUGAUUUUUCAUGUCUUCAUUUUUUUAUAUAUUUCUAUGUAUGUGCAACAUAUUCUUAUAUACUUGAACCAGUUUUCUAUUGGAAUUUUAGUUUUUUUUUUAACUGACCUCUUUUUACAUAUGUGACAGGGAGACAAGAAAAACAUAUUAAACCACAUAUUUAAUUGAAUGUUGAUAAUCCAUUCGUCUUUCCCCUUUUCUCUUUUCUGUUCCUCAUUUUUCCAGUCAUUAGGAAGAAUGUCAAGUCUGUAGUUCUGAUGAAUGGAGUGAGGUGUGAUAUGGGGGAAUCCAGGCUAAAUUGACAUAGAUAAGAAAAGACAUGGGAACUUCUUUUUUUUUUUAAAGAUGUGGAAAUAUGGAGAUACCUGUUUGAAGAAAAAGAAGUAAUGAAAAUAGCAAGAAGUUUGAGAGACUUGACAGGAGGGAAGAGAAAGAGAAAAGAAAAAUGUCAGAAUGUGCUACACUUUGGAAUCUGAUUGCUGAGGCUUUAAUGAGGACGGGCAGAGGGGAUUUUUAGUAAUGUUACUGCCUUAUGCAGAGAAACCUCAUGUUUUCUGAUAUCUCUGUCCCACCACAUAAAACAAAGCUAUCUUUAAUAAAGUAUGCACAGAGGUCAUGGAGUUGGAUUUGUUCUCUUUGGCUGUUUCCUUGGGAUAAGAUGGGCCCUAAGAGAAGAUUAAAACAGGACAGCUUUAUUAUUUAGGUUGAACUCAUAAAAUAAACAUAAAUAAACUUGUUAUGUUUUUAAAUCAAUAUUUCCCCCUGUUGGCUAUUUCAUUUUUUAGGGCUCUCAUAAAACUUUACAAAGAUGAUAUACACAUAAAUGUUUUUAACUUGACAUAAAGAUUCACUGGUUGAGAUUCAAAAUAUAGGUUUUCUUUUAUAUUACUUUACAACCAGAAUUUGUAUUAACUUUGUUGAGUUAGAUAUAGCAGCUUCUAAAAUUUAGACUUAAAAACAGCCCCCUCUUACCUGGGAAAGGAAUUUUCUUGAAUUAAAGACAGUAUGUAGUAUUAGACACAGGUAUUAAUGCAGGGAGUGUUGAAAGAGUCUUGUCCCUGGCUCCACCUGCCCCAGGUUAUUUGGAUCAAGGCAAUCAAUUAUCACAAUGAGAAAGUCUUCUCAUAUCAAUUGUACUAUAUUUUUUGACAUCUGAGUAAGUAUCUACAUUUGUAUGCCUCUGUCUCUCCAUGGGUAAAUCUACAUGGGGGUGGGUAUGUGUGUAUGUGUAUGUUUAGUGAAGUGACCAAUAUGGUCACCUUUCUUUUCUUCCAGUUUUUCUGUGGUGUCAGUGUUUACAUUUAACACUAAAUAAUUAUGGGAUGAAAGACUUUUGAUUAUAGGAUGAGAUGAAGAUCAAGGUUGAUUAUUUUUCUGCAAAUUAUCCAAUUUCUCUAGGAUCAUCAAUGGAAAGUUAAUUCCUUCCCAGUUAACAUGUGACAUAGAAUCCUCUGUGAGUCUGAAUAUUUACUUGCAAAGUAAAUACUAAAAUUUUUAGAAAUUCACCAUAUUAAAAUUUUAAGAAAUUAAUUCUUAUGUUUAUUAGUUUAUUCUCAUGGGCUUUUCUAUACAGAGAGGUAUACUUAUAAAUAGAAAUAAAAUAUCAGAAAGAAGAUAUAAACGAUUCUAUCUCUUGCAUUUUGAUCAGAAGGUUUUCUUUUUUUUUCAAUGGGUACAUUGAAAAGUAUAAUUUUAAUAUUUAAUUUUUAAUAUUAAAAUUAUAAGUAAUAGUGACAUCAUUAUGUUAUAUUUGUACAUGCAUGUAAAAUAAUUAGGUCAAUCUCAUUCCCUAGGACUGCCCCUUUUCUUCUCCUCCUCCCUCUCCAUGAUCUGCUUGCUCUAUUCCACUAAUCUCCCUUCCACUAUUAUUUUGGUGAGUGCCUUAUUAUCAUAUAUGUAAGCAGGGUUCAUUGUGGUAUAGUCCCACAUGGAGUUAGCAUUCAUUGGUGGAUCUCAUUCCCCAGGACUUCCUUGUGCCCUUCCUUCCUUGCUUUCCCCACUUCUCUCUACUCUGUUACACUCCCUUGAUAAGAAGAUUUUCAAGGAAAGUUUUGUAUGAUAUUGAAAAUCAACAAUCAGCUCAUAGCUAACUGUGGAUCACCAGAGAAAUUCCUAUUUAAGUGUGAAACAAGGAUGUUGAUUAAGGCCACUUUUAUUACAGACACAUCACAAAUGUCUUUUAAUCUUCUGAUUGAUUUAGGACAACAGCUGGGCACAGAGAUGCAUGCCUGAGGCCGAGGCAGGAAGAUGGAGAGUUCAAAGCCAGUCUCAGCAAAAAUGAGGCACUAAGCUACUCAGUGAGUUAGGGUUAGGGUUAGGGUUAGGGUUAGGGUGUCUCUAAAUAAAAUACAAAAUCAGGCUGGGAACAUAGCUCAGUGGUCGAGUGCCUCUGAGUUCAAUCCCUGGUAACAAAACAAACAAACAAAACAAAAACAUCACUAACAACAUCACUAACACAGCAUACAUUUAACUUUUAUGAAAUACAUCAUACUCAAUAGUACUCUAUUGUAGAUGAGGAAAUGAAAAUUCCGUGGUGAGGAGCUUGUCCAGGGUCAAGUAGAUAUAGGAUCUGAACCCUGUUAUCUCUCAGUUACCUUCCAGUUGAUUCAGUUCACUAGACCUUAUUGCUUAUUUGACCUUCCAGCAAAAGUAAAGCAUUCCUUCCAUUUGUAAACAGCUUGAAAUUCUAUAAAAUGAUUUCAUGUAGUUGGUCUUGCAUUCUUCAGGAUUAACUUUUGAGGGAAGUAGGUCCAUAAUCAUACUUAAAUAAUCACAAAUAAAUAUUAAAAUGUGAAGUCCCUUAUCUCUUAGGUGGUUUAGCUGCAUCAAAGUGUCUGCCUGUCAUGAAUUUCCCUGAAAAGAGAUAUGAUAAAGGAAAAAAAAACACACACUCACACACACACAGAGGCUGCUUUACAUUCAGAGGUGUCCUCAAUACUUUAAAUAAAUUAAUUAAAGCUAUGUAUUUUCUCUCUCAUUUGUAUUUGAUAAUAUUGUGUUAGUAUAAUUUUGUGAGGACUAGUGUGAAUUUAGGGAGAAAGAGAGGAGGAAGACCAAUUGCCUUAUUAGGUUGGGAAAGAGGAGCGACAGGAACAUUUUCAAGUUACCUCAUGAAUAAAAUUUGUGCUAUGGAAGAUGGAAGAUGGUGGACUUUCUUUUCCAAACAAUAUUCUAAACUUCAGAGAGCAGCAUUUUGCAACAAAAUGAAACUUAGACUCUUCAUAAUUUGCUGAAGUUUUUACCAAGUGCCGGUGCCCAUCUAUGAGUGGUACUUUUUCUUCUGUUGUUAUAAAGGAUAGUAAUGACAUUUUAUAUUCUUUCAAUCUUUCUAUUAGAAAGAAAAUAGAUUCAGAGUAGGUGUACAUGUUGUUCCCGUGUACCUAACCUGUUCCUCUGAACUUGACAGUGACCUUUACCCCAGAUUUUCCUGUUCUGUGACUAAGAUCAAAUUAGGGUGGGGCUAUGUCUGCCCUUUUCUGAAUUAUAAUGGCAUGGGGGAGAUGAAAAAUACCCAAUGUGCUUUCAUAUUUUAAUGGGUACAGUUAGGAAAACUGUUCAAUGGAUUUGGGGAGGUGGGUGGGAGAAAGGCAGGCAGGAUUUCUCCAUGCUAACUCCUAUUAAGUUGGUGUGUGUGUGUGUGUGAGUGUACUAUCACUUCUGGCAAGCAAAAGGAUUCUUGAAAGACUGUUGGAUCUUUUUUGAAAGAUGAGAAACACACUCACCUGUCCAAACCCAAAGAAUGGACUAAGGAAUUGUAACAAAAGCAUUUUACUGCUAGUCUGGAAAGAUCAGCGGGCACACCCCAGAGCAGUUACCAUCAGCGUUUUAUUUCCUAGUGAGCACGGUCGGUCCCUCCCCCAGUUCCUCAAUGACUAAGUAAAUGGGGUGUACAGUCUUUCCAGAGGUCACCUAGGUUUUACUGUCUCCUAUUGGGUUUUUAAAAAGAAAUGUACCUUUGUUGUCCCCCACCUCCUGUUUUUCUCUUGUGGCCCAAAGGCCUUCUUGAGUUAGUGCAAUCUUGCAGUUCAUUUCUGUUGGCCAGCGCCCGCCCCCCCCCCCCCCCCCCCCCCCGUUUAUCAAGGGGCUGCGAAUUUGAAUUCGUCACACUCUGGUAUUAACACUUUUUAACUUUUCAUUCUGCUUUCCCUUCCAGCUGCCUUUCUUAAAAUUACUCCCAAGUAAUUUUACAUUUAAAGCAAAAUACUAUAUUCUGAAAAUAGACCACCAGACUUUCUAUUUUUCACAAUUUGGGCAACUGCAGGUGUUAAAAUAAUUUUAAUCAACUUUGUUGUCAUAGUCUUUAUACAGUGUAUCCAUCCUAUGAAAUAUUAUGUAGCCAUUAAAAAUAUGUGUUUAAAACAUGUGAUAAACUGGAGGAAUAUUUUAUAAUGGUCAAUAAAAAUUUCCAACUCAAAUUUAAAUUGUUUAAAGUCAGGUCUCUUUGUGGCAAUAACAUUGACCCAGAUCAAAUAAACAGUCCUUUAUUCUAAGGGGGGCGGGCGCUGGCCAACAGAAAUGAACUGCAAGAUUGCACUAACUCAAGAAGGCCUUUGGGCCACAAGAGAAAAACAGGAGGUGGGGGACAACAAAGGUACAUUUCUUUUUAAAAACCCAAUAGGAGACAGUAAAACCUAGGUGACCUCUGGAAAGACUGUACACCCCAUUUACUUAGUCAUUGAGGAACUGGGGGAGGGACCGACCGUGCUCACUAGGAAAUAAAACGCUGAUGGUAACUGCUCUGGGGUGUGCCCGCUGAUCUUUCCAGACUAGCAGUAAAAUGCUUUUGUUACAAUUCCUUAGUCCAUUCUUUGGGUUUGGACAGGUGAGUGUGUUUCUCAUCUUUCAAAAAAGAUCCAACAGUCUUUCAAGAAUCCUUUUGCUUGCCAGAAGUGAUAGUACACUCACACACACACACACACCAACUUAAUAGGAGUUAGCAUGGAGAAAUCCUGCCUGCCUUUCUCCCACCCACCUCCCCAAAUCCAUUGAACAGUUUUCCUAACUGUACCCAUUAAAAUAUGAAAGCACAUUGGGUAUUUUUCAUCUCCCCCAUGCCAUUAUAAUUCAGAAAAGGGCAGACAUAGCCCCACCCUAAUUUGAUCUUAGUCACAGAACAGGAAAAUCUGGGGUAAAGGUCACUGUCAAGUUCAGAGGAACAGGUUAGGUACACGGGAACAACAUGUACACCUACUCUGAAUCUAUUUUCUUUCUAAUAGAAAGAUUGAAAGAAUAUAAAAUGUCAUUACUAUCCUUUAUAACAACAGAAGAAAAAGUACCACUCAUAGAUGGGCACCGGCACUUGGUAAAAACUUCAGCAAAUUAUGAAGAGUCUAAGUUUCAUUUUGUUGCAAAAUGCUGCUCUCUGAAGUUUAGAAUAUUGUUUGGAAAAGAAAGUCCACCAUCUUCCAUCUUCCAUAGCACAAAUUUUAUUCAUGAGGUAACUUGAAAAUGUUCCUGUCGCUCCUCUUUCCCAACCUAAUAAGGCAAUUGGUCUUCCUCCUCUCUUUCUCCCUAAAUUCACACUAGUCCUCACAAAAUUAUACUAACACAAUAUUAUCAAAUACAAAUGAGAGAGAAAAUACAUAGCUUUAAUUAAUUUAUUUAAAGUAUUGAGGACACCUCUGAAUGUAAAGCAGCCUCUGUGUGUGUGUGAGUGUGUGUUUUUUUUUCCUUUAUCAUAUCUCUUUUCAGGGAAAUUCAUGACAGGCAGACACUUUGAUGCAGCUAAACCACCUAAGAGAUAAGGGACUUCACAUUUUAAUAUUUAUUUGUGAUUAUUUAAGUAUGAUUAUGGACCUACUUCCCUCAAAAGUUAAUCCUGAAGAAUGCAAGACCAACUACAUGAAAUCAUUUUAUAGAAUUUCAAGCUGUUUACAAAUGGAAGGAAUGCUUUACUUUUGCUGGAAGGUCAAAUAAGCAAUAAGGUCUAGUGAACUGAAUCAACUGGAAGGUAACUGAGAGAUAACAGGGUUCAGAUCCUAUAUCUACUUGACCCUGGACAAGCUCCUCACCACGGAAUUUUCAUUUCCUCAUCUACAAUAGAGUACUAUUGAGUAUGAUGUAUUUCAUAAAAGUUAAAUGUAUGCUGUGUUAGUGAUGUUGUUAGUGAUGUUUUUGUUUUGUUUGUUUGUUUUGUUACCAGGGAUUGAACUCAGAGGCACUCGACCACUGAGCUAUGUUCCCAGCCUGAUUUUGUAUUUUAUUUAGAGACACCCUAACCCUAACCCUAACCCUAACCCUAACUCACUGAGUAGCUUAGUGCCUCAUUUUUGCUGAGACUGGCUUUGAACUCUCCAUCUUCCUGCCUCGGCCUCAGGCAUGCAUCUCUGUGCCCAGCUGUUGUCCUAAAUCAAUCAGAAGAUUAAAAGACAUUUGUGAUGUGUCUGUAAUAAAAGUGGCCUUAAUCAACAUCCUUGUUUCACACUUAAAUAGGAAUUUCUCUGGUGAUCCACAGUUAGCUAUGAGCUGAUUGUUGAUUUUCAAUAUCAUACAAAACUUUCCUUGAAAAUCUUCUUAUCAAGGGAGUGUAACAGAGUAGAGAGAAGUGGGGAAAGCAAGGAAGGAAGGGCACAAGGAAGUCCUGGGGAAUGAGAUCCACCAAUGAAUGCUAACUCCAUGUGGGACUAUACCACAAUGAACCCUGCUUACAUAUAUGAUAAUAAGGCACUCACCAAAAUAAUAGUGGAAGGGAGAUUAGUGGAAUAGAGCAAGCAGAUCAUGGAGAGGGAGGAGGAGAAGAAAAGGGGCAGUCCUAGGGAAUGAGAUUGACCUAAUUAUUUUACAUGCAUGUACAAAUAUAACAUAAUGAUGUCACUAUUACUUAUAAUUUUAAUAUUAAAAAUUAAAUAUUAAAAUUAUACUUUUCAAUGUACCCAUUGAAAAAAAAAGAAAACCUUCUGAUCAAAAUGCAAGAGAUAGAAUCGUUUAUAUCUUCUUUCUGAUAUUUUAUUUCUAUUUAUAAGUAUACCUCUCUGUAUAGAAAAGCCCAUGAGAAUAAACUAAUAAACAUAAGAAUUAAUUUCUUAAAAUUUUAAUAUGGUGAAUUUCUAAAAAUUUUAGUAUUUACUUUGCAAGUAAAUAUUCAGACUCACAGAGGAUUCUAUGUCACAUGUUAACUGGGAAGGAAUUAACUUUCCAUUGAUGAUCCUAGAGAAAUUGGAUAAUUUGCAGAAAAAUAAUCAACCUUGAUCUUCAUCUCAUCCUAUAAUCAAAAGUCUUUCAUCCCAUAAUUAUUUAGUGUUAAAUGUAAACACUGACACCACAGAAAAACUGGAAGAAAAGAAAGGUGACCAUAUUGGUCACUUCACUAAACAUACACAUACACACAUACCCACCCCCAUGUAGAUUUACCCAUGGAGAGACAGAGGCAUACAAAUGUAGAUACUUACUCAGAUGUCAAAAAAUAUAGUACAAUUGAUAUGAGAAGACUUUCUCAUUGUGAUAAUUGAUUGCCUUGAUCCAAAUAACCUGGGGCAGGUGGAGCCAGGGACAAGACUCUUUCAACACUCCCUGCAUUAAUACCUGUGUCUAAUACUACAUACUGUCUUUAAUUCAAGAAAAUUCCUUUCCCAGGUAAGAGGGGGCUGUUUUUAAGUCUAAAUUUUAGAAGCUGCUAUAUCUAACUCAACAAAGUUAAUACAAAUUCUGGUUGUAAAGUAAUAUAAAAGAAAACCUAUAUUUUGAAUCUCAACCAGUGAAUCUUUAUGUCAAGUUAAAAACAUUUAUGUGUAUAUCAUCUUUGUAAAGUUUUAUGAGAGCCCUAAAAAAUGAAAUAGCCAACAGGGGGAAAUAUUGAUUUAAAAACAUAACAAGUUUAUUUAUGUUUAUUUUAUGAGUUCAACCUAAAUAAUAAAGCUGUCCUGUUUUAAUCUUCUCUUAGGGCCCAUCUUAUCCCAAGGAAACAGCCAAAGAGAACAAAUCCAACUCCAUGACCUCUGUGCAUACUUUAUUAAAGAUAGCUUUGUUUUAUGUGGUGGGACAGAGAUAUCAGAAAACAUGAGGUUUCUCUGCAUAAGGCAGUAACAUUACUAAAAAUCCCCUCUGCCCGUCCUCAUUAAAGCCUCAGCAAUCAGAUUCCAAAGUGUAGCACAUUCUGACAUUUUUCUUUUCUCUUUCUCUUCCCUCCUGUCAAGUCUCUCAAACUUCUUGCUAUUUUCAUUACUUCUUUUUCUUCAAACAGGUAUCUCCAUAUUUCCACAUCUUUAAAAAAAAAAAGAAGUUCCCAUGUCUUUUCUUAUCUAUGUCAAUUUAGCCUGGAUUCCCCCAUAUCACACCUCACUCCAUUCAUCAGAACUACAGACUUGACAUUCUUCCUAAUGACUGGAAAAAUGAGGAACAGAAAAGAGAAAAGGGGAAAGACGAAUGGAUUAUCAACAUUCAAUUAAAUAUGUGGUUUAAUAUGUUUUUCUUGUCUCCCUGUCACAUAUGUAAAAAGAGGUCAGUUAAAAAAAAAACUAAAAUUCCAAUAGAAAACUGGUUCAAGUAUAUAAGAAUAUGUUGCACAUACAUAGAAAUAUAUAAAAAAAUGAAGACAUGAAAAAUCAACACCACUAGAAAACAAUACAAAUGAAAACACUGAGAUAUCAUGAUUUAACAGAUUGAAUUAGCAAAGAUUAAAAUUAAAAUAUUCAGUGCUGAUGGAGGGAUAGUGAGAUUGGCAUUCUUACAUGUUGCUAAUAGAAAUAAAGACUGAACAACCUUUCUGAAAUGCAAGUAAGCAUUGCAGGGUACAAUUUUAAAAUUUUCAAUCUUUGCCAUUCAUUUCUAGAAUAAUUAUGAAGUAUUAUAGAAGAUCUAUGUAUAGGUACUUUGUUAUUUGUUUUAACAUUGUUUAUGAAGACAAAAUUAGACACAACAAAAAUGUCCAGAAUUGGUUGUUGGUAAAGUAAUUUAAAGGUAUUAGUGAUGAAAAUUGAGAUUUCUGAAAUCUAUUUAAUGAUAUUAUAAAAUGGUUAUGCUAAAAUGUGAAGCAAGGUUAUACUGGGUAGAAAGCUCCAUAGGAUAAUCUAAGUUCUAUAACAUAGAUGUGUGUAAGUAGGAAGGAAAUAUACCAAAGUAUCAACCAAGGUUAUCUUUGUGGAAAUUUUUACUUCCUUCUUGAUCUUCCCUGAAUUUUCCACAUAACCCAUAAUGAGGAAGUCUGAAGUAGUACUACUUUCAUAAUCAGAAAAGGUUUUAUUUUUUUAACCAAGAAAAGGCAUCAAAUUCUCUUAUAAAUAACCAAGUGCCCCCCCCCCCCAAAUAACCAAGUGCCAUUCCUAUUUGUCAUUAGUAAGCAUUUCAAAUUCAUGGAUGCAAUUUAAAGACUUUUGUAAGAGACUUUCUUGAGAAGAGACUGUAAUGCUUUUGUAACAGGUAAUUUAAUAAAUUUGGAAGAGAUUAUGGAGAGAAGUGGGGCUGAGGAAUUAAAAAACAUAAUGAGAAUUCUAAGGUUUCAGAAAAAGACUUAGUCUCUUGCUCUAAAUAGUAAAGAAAGCAAUGAAUAAUUAAAAGCCAAAUGAAUUACUAUUGUGUUUACUUCUUCCCAUUGUUCUGAGAUGCUUAAUAGAUUUUUUCAAAGCAUUUUUAAACUUAUUAUCUUCACAACUUUAUCAAGAAGUAAUCACAUCUUUCAUAUUUUGAAGUUGUUUUUAUUGUUUACCUUCUUUCAACUAUAUGACUAUGGACAAAUCAUUGUUGAGCAUCUGAUGCUAACUAUAGGAUAUUUGAUAUUGACCAAACAUAAUUUCUUAACAUUCAAGCUUUCUGGACAAGUCAGUUACAAAUUGUCUGCAACAUCAUAGAGCUGAAAGCUAACACAGGAGAAUGAAUUUGGUUGAUUCCUUAAGAUCAUGUCUUAACCAAAUCAUCCUUUCUUUUAUUCUACUCUUCCACAUUCACCUGAGGUAACUAAAUAGGAAGAUUAAAAUCAUUAGAAUAAACCCAUCUUUUACUAUUAAAAAAUCAUCUUUGGGGAUGGGGAUGUGGCUCAGCGCGGCCCGGGUUCGAUCCUCAGCACCACAUACAAACAAAGAUGUUGUGUCCGCCGAAAACUAACAAAAUAAAUAUUUAAAAAAUUUUCUCUCUCUCUCUCUCUCUCCCCCUCUCUCUCUCUCUUUAAAAUAGAUAAAUAAAUAAAUAAAUAAAAAUAAAAAAUCAUCUCAGAAUCUAACUGUUCUUAGAGAGUCCUGAUGCUAGUAUCUUUAUGUAUUAUAUUUAUGAAGUUCUUCUGGUCGUUAAAAACAUCUCAAAUGGGUGGGACUUAAAAAAAAAAACUUCUCAGGGGAUUCCUGGUUUUCCUGGGUUGUUCCAAUUUUGGGGUAGUUCCAGAAGUGAACACUUCCCCAGUAGCUAAUGAUGUCUCUGGGGAACCCCCACAGCUAGAUUUAUGAUCUUCUCGUCGAAAACAGCUUCUAGCAUUAGAGAGCCCAAGUGUACUCUUAGGCUAGACUCCAUUCUCAGGCGGUUAGGGCCUCUUUGGUCACUCAGAGGUAUUUCAGGCCAACCACCACAAAGGUAAUUCAAGACAUCUGUGUGACCACAUUUCUUCUAGUUUGCUUUAAAGCAAAAACACGCAUUUCAAAGGAUAUAAAAUAUAUAUGUACAGUUAAGAAGCAGCUAUAAAGGAACACCCAUAUGGCUAUCAACCAAAUUAAGAAUACUGUCAACACCCCAGGAAACACCCUGUAAAGCCCUUCCUUUUCACAACCCACUCCCUGAGUUCAAUUGACGCACUCCCUCUUCCCCCAGCAAGGAUUCUUGGCCAGAAUUUUAUCAGCCUGGAGAAGUGUUAGAAAGGCUUUCCAAAAAUAAUCCUUACUGUACAGCACAUGACACUGUGUUGGCAUUAAUAAAAAAGCUGCUACUAUUUUUUAAAUUUUUUUUUCUAUGGAUCAUAUAAAAUAAUUAUUUUCCAGAACCCAAAGGCAUCUAUGUUCUAGAGGAUACCUUGAUUCAGCAGUUCAAUAAUUCAACUUGCUUUUAAUGAUUAUUUCUAAAAGAAUAUUUAAAGCAAUUUACAUUUCCUCUUUUGAAUUCUAUGUUUAGAUCUCUCAGACACUGGGUUUUUAGUAUUUUCUCCAGCCUCUUGUUUAAGGAGGCAAAGUCCUUGGUGUAAUAAAAUAUAUUCUUUUGUGUUUUUUCAAUGAUUUUCAAAUAAUUUGAGCGUUUCCAAAUAUUCACAAAAAUAGAGGAAAUAUUAUAAAGAACCCACAUGUACUUAAUACCUAGCAUAACAAUUAUCAACAUUUGGCAAUUCUUUUUUUUUUCCAGUAUUGGGGAUCAAUUCCAGGGCCUCAUACAUGCAAGGCAAGUUCUGUACUACUGAACCACAUUCCCUAGCGCAUUCUAAAAUUUUUGUUCACUAAUUCUUUUUCCUCUCCUCAUGGUUCUUUUGCUGAAGCAAUUUAAAGUAAACCUCACACAUAAUAUAAUGUCACAUACAAAUACUUCAGAAUAUACCUCUAGCUUAUAAGAGCUUUUAAAUAAUAAUCAACAUACCUACCCAAUUAUUAACAAUAAUUCCUUUAUAUCUAAUAUCCACUCAGACUCAAUAUUCCCUGACUUUAAAAAAUGUCAAUUCAGAAUUAAAUUUUUGUAUCCAGACUCAAAUAGGACCUACAUGUUACAUUCAGUUGAUAUUUCAUUUAAGUUCUUCCAUUCUUUCUUAUGUUAGGCUAUCUUUUUUUUUUUUUUUUUUUUUUUUUUUUAAGAAACUGGUUCUUUUAACCUAAAGAACAUCCUAGUUCCUGGAUUUGUAUGAUGGUAUCCUCCUGAAGUCAUUUACUACUUUUCUUUCAAGUGAUAGAUCUACAGAUGUGAUAAGAUUUGGAAAAAUUCUUUUAGGCAAAGCUUUACACAUGGUGCCAUCAACUUCCUGUUGUAUCCAGUCCUCAGACAUAACGUGUGAGGGUCCCUCUUUUAGUGAUGUUCGGAUUAAUUAGUGGUUUCAGGUAUUGUCAGCCUGACUUAUUCUUUACAAAAUUUUCAACAAACUAAUGAUUUUCACAGUUACUGAUAACUGCUUUUUACAUCCAGUUCUACAGUUGGGCUCUACUACUUGAAGCUAAGAAAGUCUUACUCUGUGACAAUAUCAGAUCAUUAAAUGAUCAUCUGUAUUUUUCCAGGAUUAAAAAAUUGGAUCAAUCUGGAAUUCACUUUAGUGUACAAGGGAGUUGAGGAUUUAAAUUGAUGUGUGCUGGAGAGAAUGUGUUCCAAAAGACAAGUAACCAAAAUGGCCUAAUACCACACACCUGGUGAUGGAAUUCUGACUAGCUACUGUGCCUUUCUAAGAGGAAUCCCAAAUUGUUUCUUUAACAUUCAGUAAUUUUCCCAAAGUUACUAGUGUCCUAGCCCUGGUACACUAAUCAGAAAAAGAUUUCCUUACUUACAGAGACCCUAGAGCAAGAUUAGUCUGAGAAAAUGUCCUUAGGUAUCUGUUGCAUCUUCUUACAGCAGGUGGGGUUUCCACAGAAGAGAAAACUCACUUUUGUGAUUACUCAGGGUUUUGUACAAUUGCUAAGUUUUAAAAUCUUGAAAAUGUCAGCGUUUUAUUUCUGCAAACCAUCAUUUUGUCACCAAGGGAAAUGACCUUGAAAAAAAUCUAUACACAUGACAUAAUGACUCAAAAUUAAGCAGAAGUCAUUAUAUUUCCUUUCUUUCCUUCUUUAAGAACAUAUUCACCACUUUCCAAAUGUUGGCACCUUACACCUGCUCCUUAAAUUACCAGAAAUGAAAUUUAUUGAAAGGAUAAUUAUUUAGCUUAUUUCUUUUCUACCUUAGAAAAAAGAUGUAUCAGAUACUUGGUUUAAAUUUGAAAAAAAAAAGCUGUAAGGCUUAUUAUGAAUGGUUUCUUUGAUUCCAAAAAUUCUCCAUUCAAAUUAAUGCUAGGCUAGUCUUGCAAAAAAAAUUGAUUGCAUUAUCUCUUUGCUCAAGAACAUCUUUGGUUGACCACUGCUUAUAAAACCAAGUUCAAAUUUGUGUUCUUUAGCUAUAGAUCCCUCACUUCCUGGCUACCAUUUCUUCUCCCACUCAUUCUUCAGAGUUAACUCCUGUCUAUUCUCCAAUUUCAUGUGUUUUACACACUCUCAGCCCCUUUCUCACUCCUCUCUCCCAAUGUAGAUUUUAGUCUCUAUUUUUCAACCUCACACCAAAUUUAAUCUCCUCUACAAGCAUUUUCCUAUUGGUGGUCCUUGCAAAUAUUUCCAAUUUUAAAUUAUGCCCCUUUAGAAACAGAAUGAUACAGUUUAACAUACAUUUUUAUUCCUUUUUGUUCACAGUGUAGCUUUUAUGGUCGUCUUACUAGUUUGUAAGAACAGACAUGGUAUGUUACGUAGGACUUUAGUUUUAGACCUAAUUUAAUUGAAAUUCCUGUGAAAUUUUUAAAUAACAACUUUACUGGUGUGCUUAUCAAAUUCACAUGACAUGAUCCUGAGAGUGUGAUAAGGUCUCAUGUUUUCACUUUUCAUGUCUUCCUAUCUUCUGUGUUAGUGAGGCAUCACUGUGAUCAAAAUACCCAACAAAAAUAAUUUAGAGAAGAGAAGUUUUAGUUGGACUCAUGGUUUCAGAAGAUCAGUCCUGAAUCCACUGCUCUGGGCUCAAGUAAGGCAUAACAUCAUGGUGGGUUGGUAGAGGAGCACUGUUCUAUUCAGGGUGGACAGGAAGCAGAAAAAGGGGAAGUGGGCACAGGGAAGAUGAAUUCUCCCAAGGCAUGAUCCCAGUGACCUACCAGCCACACCCCACCUGCCUAUAGUUACCACCCAGUCAGUCCAUUCAAACAAGGAUGAACUCAGUAGGCUACAGCUCUUAUAAUUCAAUCACUUCACGUCUGAACCUAGCUGCAUUCACACAGGAGCUUUUGGGAGACAUCUCAUAUCCAAACCAUAACACUAUAUUUAGAACCUCUGAAGUAAAUUUGAAGGUCUUCCAUCAAUAAAUGAAGCCUAUUUUUCCAGGGUUUGAACUUUGCUAGCUUUAGAGUUUAUUGGUUAAUAGAAUAUGGAACAAAUGCAGGUAUGCCUGUCCUGAAUUUAGGAUUCAUGGGGCCUUUCUUGAUUUCAUUUGCUGUUAUGAGACCCAUCCUCUGCCAUGUGCAGAAGUCCAGGCUAGCCUGCUGGAGAAUGACAGACCAUUUGGAGACUGGCCAUUCUCCUCUGAAGUGCUUCUAGAGUAGCCAUUCCAAUCAGCUCUCCUUGACAUGCCAGCUAAUCCGAGAUGCUAGAGCCAAUGUCCAGUCCAAAAAAAUCACUCAGCUUAGCUCAACGUAACUGCUGAUGUGUAGAAUUAGAAGCAAAACUGUUAUAUUAGUCCAUUAAAUUUGGGGUGGCUUAAUAUAUGACACAUGUUAAGGGAUAAACCAAAAAUAUUUUUUAAAAUGUUAGAGGGAAGAAUCUUAAUACUAAGAGAGUUCAGCAUUCUAGAAUAACAAACUAUGCUGUUCAGAUAAAAUGUAACUGUGGUAAGUGCAAACUUCUAAAUUCAAGUUCAAAAAUCCAGAUGUAGAAUAUAAAAUAGCAGAGAUAUAACUUAUCAACAUGUAUGCAAAGCACUUACUGGCUUUGGUCGACCAUAAAUAUAUGACUCAACCCUGUGUUCCACACUUCCAAUGAAGCUAAUCCUAUAUAAAAUUAAUACUAGUAUGUUUUAGUACAUAAGAACCUAAAAUAGAGCUUGUCCAUAGGAAAGUGAUCAUGAUGCUAAAAGGGCCUAGAAACUAUCUCAAACAAGGAAAAAUGAAAGGCAAUGCAAUUGUGAAUACAGUAGAAAGACUGAAUGACCACAGUGGAUAAGAGAGCUAUGUGACAAAGAAUUGGGCAUGUUUCAUGCCAUCCCACUGAAAGUUAGGACCCAAAGCUUCAGAUGAACAUUGAGAAGAAAAUGAAUUAGAGAGGCUGCAUAUAUAUGCUGUUUAAGAAUAUACCCAUUUUUUUUUGCCAGGCAUGGUGGUGCACGCCUGUAAUCCCAGCAGUUUGGGAGGCUGAGGCAGGAGGAUCAUGAGUUCAAAGCCAGUCUUGGCAACUUAGCAAGGCCCUAAGCAACUCAGUGAGACCCUGUCUCUAAAUAAAAUAUUAGAGAAGGGCUGGGGAUGUUGCUUGGUGGUUAAGCGCUCCUGGAUUCAGUCCCUAGUACCAAAAAAAAAAAAAAGAAUCAUUUUGGAAGGAAAUAAUAACAGUACCAUUCUACAAGGUGUGAUGAAGAUUAGCUUGGAAUUUUGAAGUUGUUUAGAUCAGUGUCUAGCACAUAGUAAGCACUCAAUGGAUUGUAUUUAUUAUCACUAAUAAUGAGAGCAAUAUAAACAUGAAAUGAACUGCCUCAGGAGGCAGAAAGCUCUCUCACACUGACAAUAUUCACAGGAGUCUUGCCAGAUGUUUAUUAGAACAGAUAAACAUCAGGACAAAAGUUAGAGUAGGUGACAUUGAAAUUACCUUCUAAUACAAAAUAAAUCUAUGUCCCUUAAGACUUGAAUAACUUCAUUGUACCUUUCAAAAUAGCACUAUUGACCAAAUUAUAUUUAUCUAGUAUAUUUGAUUAAACUUUUAUUAUAUAAUUAUAAAUGUAUAGUUUCUCUUUCAUAACAGUUGAUUCAUGCUGAAAUAAAGGUAUGUGAGGAUUCUGAUUUUUUUUUUAUCUCCUAUCCUCUAAAGUAAGUAUACCAUUAAAGUUUGUUUUUCUUAACAUCAGUGUGGAGCAUGCCUGUAACCCCAGCAGCUUGGGAGGUUGAGGCAGGAGGAUCAAGAGUUCAAAGCCAGCCUCAGUUAUUUAGCAACUCAGUGAGACCCUGUCUCUAAGUAAAAUACAAAAAAUCAGUGUUGACUGAAACUAAAAAGUACAGGCUUUAGUGCUUCCUUAUACAUCAUUUAAAUUUGUGUGUGCUAAGCUCUCAGAUUUUUACAUGUAGCUUUCCCCCUUCAAGGUAUAAUAAGGCUGCCACUUGUGAUUGAUCCCAUAUCAAAAGUUCAAACUGGAGUCAAAAACCACUUUUCCUUCUGUACAUACGGUACCUGGAAACACUGACAACAAUUCUUCCUGCCUCCAAAGGCACAGCAGACAAUCCCAAUCCCCACUGCAAAUCUGUUUAAUAAAAUAGCUCUAGUAGAAUCCCCCAAACUUAGUAAUGUGCUUAUUGUCUUCAAUUAUCUCAUUGUUAUCCGUUAAUAGAAUUCACAUUAGCCAAGGUGUCUUUAUCAUCUCUAAACACCCCCUCCCUUUUUUUUGCAAUGAAUUCCAACAUAAUAAUAGCUAUUAAUAUCUGUGAGAAAAAGAAGUGUUUUGCUUUCCCCAUUAAUGAAAGUUGAUAGUUUGGUACUCUGGCUAGGAGAAUCACAUAAGGUACAAAUGAGAAGAGUUCUGAAUUCUAGGUUUGAAUGAGCUCUGGGUUCUGGAUAUAGAGUGAAAUAAAUAGAAAAAUCAUUCAUAGACACAAACAGGCUUUUUGGACAACUAGGUGUCUGAUAGGAGCCGCAUAUUGUGCUGCAUCAAUGCAAAGAUAAGUAACAUGUUCCAGGAGAGUGUGGUGAUGCAUGCCUGUACUUCCAGCUACUCAGGAGGCGGAGGCAGGAGGAUCACAGUUGGAGGCCAGUCUCCACAACUCAACAUGACCCUACCUUAAAAUAAAAUUUAAAAAGGGAUGUAACUCAGUGGUAAAGCGCCCCUGGGUUUAAUCCUCAGUACUGAAAAAAAAAAUUAAAAAAGGAUGAAAGAACAAACAUGUUCCAUUUCUCAGAAUUGAUAACCAAAGCAAAGCAAAACUGUACUAGAAAAUUCAAAGUACAGUUUUAACUCAGAAUAGAUGUUGCAGUAGGGAAGGAAAGAAAAGUAGAGGUGAAUUAUAAGAGAUUUUGAAAAAGAGGAAGGAGUUAAGCAGGAACAAGGGACAGGAGUAGCACUAACAAGGGCAAAGAGCUAUAAGAAGACAAUACCUACAGACCUGGAGGGAACAGGCAGUGGAGCUGAGGGCAGAGGUGGCUACGUCAUGCCCACCCCACUUUACCCUUCAGAGAGAGUCAGACAGGGCCGCAGCCCCUGGGGGGCCUUUCACCUCUUGGUCAAGUAAGUGGGUCAUAUUUACAAGUUGUAUCCAGAAUCCAGACAGGAGAUGAGGAAGGCCUAACUGGGAGCCAUCACUAUGGGAAAGGAUAAGGCAAGAUGUUAGGAUUUAGAACCAUCUGAACUUAAAUAGCAGACCAAAUGGAUGAGAGGGAGGAAUUAUGGACAAUGUCCAAGAAUCUGGCUUGAAUUUGGGGCUAGGUAGAAGUAGAACUGUUUACUGAGAGAGGAACAGAACAUCUGUGGAUGGGAAAGAGAAGCAGGCUAGCUCAAUUGUGGAUAGUUGAGUAAAUGAACCAAUAGAAUAAAGAAAACAAAUGAGCCAGAAUAAAGAACCAAUAGAAUAAAAAAAAAAUAGUUAUUUUUUUUUCUAUCAGGGAUUGAAGCUGGGGUGCUCUACCUCUGAGAUACAUUCCCUGUUCCUUUUUAUUUUAUUUUCGGGACAGGGUAUUGCUAACUUGCCAAGGCUGGCCUGGAACUUGUGAUCUUCCUGCCUCAGCCUCCUGUGUUACUGGGAUUGCACGUGUGCAGCACAUACCCAGCUCAAAUAGUUGAUUCUUUUCCUUUUCCUUUUUUUUUUUUUUUAAGUGAAUCAGGAAUGAAACACUGGAAAACACAGAACUGGUUCUGUAAGAGAGACUGAGAAGGUCUCGUCUCCUGUAGAUGAGAAUUGUAACCCCAUCUAUGCUCCUGAAACCCAAGAGAGGAAUGACCUUCAAGAAGAGGGUAACUGAGUCAAAUGCUGUAGAGAUCAAGUUGCAGAGGAAUUGGAAGAUGCUCUUUGGAUUUGGCAGUUAGAGUUUUCCCACUGAUCUUGGCAAGACCACUUUCACUGACGUAGCAAAGGAAAGAAACAACUUCCAUGCCUCGAAGCAUGAGAAUGACAUUCUCUCUUUCUCUCUUCUAUUUUGUUUGAAAUCUCAACAUAAUGACUUUUAUUGCUGAUUCCCUUUGCAAGUCCUUAGUGUAAAAAUGCAGCUUAUGAGUUUUGCAAAUGAGUAAAGCCUUUUCAGAGUUGCCAUUCUGUAAGCAACCAACUUUUAAGGGAAAGUUUUUCUUGGAGAAUUCCUUAGAGAGGCUAAGGAAGUCAUUUAACAGAAAAAGCAACCUGAAUCCAGGUAGUGAGAAAACAUGGAUCUCUGAUUCAGCAAUGUGAGAAUUUAUUUUUUUCUUUUUCUACCACUCCCUCUCCUGAACAAGCAGCUACUAUGUGGAAAGAAUUACGCUUGGUGCUUUGGGGACAUAAAUAAUGAAUAAGGCACAAUCCUGCCUCACCCCAGCCUAUAGUCAAGGAGAUUACAAGCCAGUGAAAAAGACAGACAGGUAAUCAACCAACCUUAAAAUAAGGUGGGCUGCAAGAAAUGCUCAUAAUGGUACAAGUAAAGUUCUAUGGGGGCCAACUAUAAUUCCCCAUUUCUCAUGAAAUGCAGGAAAUGACCUUUAAAAACGCAGACACAAUUGGGGAGUUCAUCGCACCACUAAUUACCUCCCUACUCUCCAGACCAUAAACUUUUAUUCGAUCUGUUCUCUGUUCACCUCAUUCAUACUCAUUUAUUUUAACAGGCAUCCAAAUGGCCUAUAUGUAAAACCUUAACAGACAUUAGUGGCAAGGAGAGAUUUCGCCUCCACCCUUGGCUUUAUUGUGAUUCUUUCAUUAAACUGAACUUUAAUGAUGUUUAAUACUACCAUUUUGACUCUUUUCAUUGUUAGUACUAAUGUCCUUAAAGCUAAAUGCAUAGCCUCAUGGUUGAGGAGCACACUAAGCCUCCUUCUCCCAGAGCAGAUAAACUGGGACACCUAAAUAUACAGAGCAGCUUCUGAGGAAUACUUCUGAAUAUUUGGAUCUGAAUAACCUCACGGUGACACCUCCGCAGCUCCUAUCCCUUUUAAAGUUCUUUGUAAAGCACCUCCCUUUGAAGGGUCAGCCCACCACAGCAUGCUCACACUAUUCUCACAUGUGCAGUUUUGCUAUUUUUAGCCAGGGUCUUUUGGAAAAUGAAAAUCUCAGGUAGGUUAACUGUAGCCAGAGUGACCCAGAACAGAAGCCAGGUCAUGCUUUUUCUUGGCUUCCUUCUGUUAUCCUCUCAGGAAACUUUGAUUAUAUUUCAACUAGGAAUAGGAAAGAGAUUGUCUAAAUAAAAAAACAUCUCUCCAGCAGGUGGUUAAGUCUUAGGUUCUGGAGUCAGCGUGGCUGGGUCUGGAUGCCAACUCUACCAUUUAUUAGCUCCGUGACCUUGAACCAGUUGUUUAUCCUCUAGGCUUCAGCUGGAAAAUGAUUAAAUAAGAUACCGCCUAUAAAAACUGAGGUUAGUGUUAGACACAGAGUCUUCAAACAAUAGUAGCUAUUAAAAUAAUUAUUAUUGCUAUUAUCAUUGAUACCAAAUUGCCCUGGAUUACUGCUUAUAACACCCUGCCCCACACAUGGUAGGCACUCAAUGUCUGUUUACUCUUAGCGGAUGCUUGGCUAGUUUUUAGCUUAGAAUGCAGUGUUUCCAAGAAGUGCUCCUUUUGGCUUUCUCAAAAGUACCCAGAGCAUUGGGAAGGUAGCAAAACUAUUAAUUUUGCAGUACAGUUUCUCAGGGCUCAAUAUUAUUAUCAUUUUUUCAUCCAUGUGGAAAGAGAGGGCCGUGGGUAUAGGUCAGUUGUAGAGUACUUGCCUAACAUGCACAAUGCCCUAGGUUAGAUCCCCCAGAGAAUAAAAGAAAAAAAAAGAAAUUAUGCAAAAAGAGAGUGUAUUAUGAGUACAUGUAUCUUACAGCAGCCUUAGGUGAUGUUUUUUUCUCCACCCCACGUUAAUACAAAUCUGUUUCAUUUUCUCAACAAUAUACCAGUCAGCCUACUUAGCAUUUUUCUACCAAAAGUUCCACUUGAUAUUUUUCAGCUGGGUUCUGGGAGAGAAGUUGGGGCAGUGUUAAUGGAAAGUAUCAGCACAUGAGACAAGGAAAGAAUAAACAAUAUCUCUGUAACACAAAUAUGACUUUGUGCCCUUUGAUAAUGGCACUUUCCUUAAUAGUAAGAGCCUGGGGAAUGUGUGUGUGUGUCUGUCUAUCUGUGUGAGCAUUCAGUCCAUGCAUGUUAUAUUGUACAUUUCAACUUUCACAGACAAGUUAUAAAACAAGAUCAGAAGAACAAGAAAGAUGUUUGUUUCUUAUGUUUAUAGUUUCCCAUUUUUAUAGUGUGUCAGUAUCUAUAGAUGUCUAAAAUUAAGGGAUUUUAUAAACUUAAUAAAUGAAUACAUCCUAUUGAUAUUAAUUACUCAUAUUUCACGUAUUUUUCUUUGGCUUUUGGGAGCUAUUGCUAUAUACUUUUAUGUUUAUAAGAGAACAUAAAUUAUACUGCCAGUGGUUGAAGCAUAUUUGUUAAAUUUUAUAACAAUUCUUGUGAGCUCAUCAAGCCUGUUUAUAGAACCAUCUUGCCUGUUGUGAAUGUGAGACGGACAGGCUUCUUGCCUUUGUGUGUUAGGCUGAGCUUUUUACCCAACUGAACUCCCAUAGGUGGAGUUAAUGUUGUAAACUUCAGCCUAGAUUGUUUAUAGGAUGGUAGUGGGAAUCUAGGCAUCUAAAUAUAAGGGAUAUAUAUUCUCACUUUUGGUAAUUUAGGACAGUGUUAAUGAAAUUGACUUUAAAAUCUGAAUAGAACUUCAACAACAAUUAUGAAAAAGAAUAAGAUGAAACUGAAUAACAAACUAAACUUCUUUUACUUAACCAUCAGUAGUCAGGCACUAUAAGCCUACUGUGUGCCCAUUAUGGAGUUGAGCCUUUUUCUGGGGGGAGGGUGCCAGGGAUUGAACUCAGAGACACUCAACCACUGAGCCACAUCCCUAGCCCUAUUUUGUAUUUUCUUUAGAGACAGGGUCUCACUGAGUUGCAUAGUGCCUUGCAUUGCUGAGGCUGGCUUUGAACUCACAAUACACCUGUCUCAGGCUCCUAAAUCACUGGGAUUACAGGCAUAAGCCUCUGUGCCCAGCAGAGUUAAGCCUUUUGGGCAAAGGCAGGAUGGAAACAAACUGACAUGGGUUCCAAUGUGUAGAAGUGGUGGCAGUUGACAUUUUAGAGAGUUAAUUAACUAGGCCAAAACAAGAAGUAUUAUUUAAUGUUGAAUAAAAGGAGAAUGGAUUUUAAAAGCACCAACAAAACAAUUCACUCUUCUCCUAGAACCCCAUGUGGUUGGGGUUGCCCCAGGCAAUAAGAAUCAGCUUCAGGUGAUGAAAGAACAGAACAUCAUGCCAGAUGCAGACACGGGGAUACCUAUGAAUAUUUCUAAAUCAAUGACAACUCCUAUAUACAAUAAGUAUCAAUAGAAACAGUAUUUGGCAGAUAAUAGGCUCCCCUAUAGUUCUUGAGUUUAAGUGUUUUCAAUAGAAAUUUGUUUGCCUCAGUGCUGAGAAUUUCUUCAAACCUAAAUCCCCAGGUUUAUCACCUUUGAACUUCAAAGACAGGGUUCUUGGCUCAGCAGAGUCCUGCUCCUGGUUUUCAGAGCCAAAGGUAGCUUCUCUGUCUCUCCAUCUUGAUCCAGACUGAAUUUGGGAGAUGGGUGUUAGCAAGUCAACGCCUUCAUCCUUCCACCAAUAUUUAUUAUAACAGCUCUGCUUUGUGCUUUCUCUGAGUUCUAAGUAUCUUCUCACAGCAGGCAACUGCUCUCUCCCCUGCUCUGUGUCACUGAGCACUAGGAUAUCAUUGCAGCUACAGUAAUACUGGCUAAAGGAGAGGGUAUAAAUCAGAUGGGAGUUGACUCUGUGUUAAGCAAUAUCAGACAAGCACAACAAGCUAUGGAUUCUAUGGAGUGAGAGACCCUGAUUUGGAUAUAGUUUUUCUGUUAUCUCUCUUGCUUUAAGACUGCUAUUCUGGAUUCUGCUACCACAUCUGUAUUCCAUCUAGCAAGUACAUGACCUGUCAACUGCACAUGGUAUUGCCUCUCUCCUUCCACUAGCCAUAAUCUAGUCAUUCAGCCAUGGCCAAAUGCAAGGGAGGACAAAUGUGUACCUUUAACUAGGCAGACAUAUGUCCAACUAAAACCUCCAUUAUUUUAGAAGAAAUAGAAAACACACCUUUUAACAUUCAGGGUUCCUUCAUCUUGUAACAAAAAUCCCCAGAAGAAAAAUACUUUGUUUAAUGCAUUUUGCCAUAGUGACCAGGAGCUAAAUGUAUAGAGAUCCAGGGUAUUCACAUAGAAAAAAGAAAAACACUUUAAGAUAAUAUUUAUCUAUAGCUACAGUAAUUGUAAUGGCUUGUCUUGCUAAAAAUUAUUAUUCCAUGUAUUCCAUUCAUGACUUUGGACAUUUUGUUUUUUUUGGAAGCAGUGAAAGCCACACAUUAGUUUUGGGGUUGACCUUCUCCAUCUUCUUGAAUCACUGAGAACCCUAAGUGAUAAAUAUUAAGUCCUGAGGCACUUCAUAUAGAACUAGUGCUGUCCAUCCAGACCCAAUCAGAAUAUAACAAUAUGGUGUUCAACUAUUCUGGACAGGCUUUGGCUUAGAAGACUGCUUUUAUAGUGACUUGCAUUUGCUAAGCUAAAUGUUCUUUAGUAAGAAAAACUGUUCAACGGUUAAAUUAAAAAAGCUAAAGUCUAAUCUAUAAAAAGGACACGUCUAAUUUUUCUUCCCACAGAUGCCUCCAAACUUUGAAAUAAAGCAGCUCUACAUUUUGUUGAUUUUGAGUUCACCAGUUCCUUUCUUUUUAUCUGUUGUUUAUCCAGUUACUUCCACCUGGCUCUUUCAGUUUCCCCUUCACUUACCCAGACAUAUAAAAGGCCUAGGGAGUCUUAUUUACUUUCUUAGCCACCCUUCCAUUCAAUAUCCCUGCUGUCCUUCAAAGCAGUUUCUCUCUCCACGUCCUUCUGGUCAAAUCAAAUAAUGUGUUCAAGUUACAUUUCUUAGGAUCAAGAACAUGUUUACCUGUCACCUAAAUUUAUUUGAAAAAGGCAGGUUGGCAUAGUAAUGGUAACCCCUGAUUCAAAACAGCUCUGUCUGCUUGUGUAUUGGGAAGACACUACAGUUUUCUGAGAUUGUGGCACUUUGGGUUAUUUGACCUGCAGGUCUACACGAUGCCUUGCCAGUAGCACCAGUGAGAAAUUUGUGGGAGAGCCUGGACAUUGAGUUUCAGGUCAUCCUCUAAUGUUAUCUAUCUCCCUGAAUUCCUGCUUCUGUCUGCACCAUCUUCUAAUUCCCUUCCAAUAGUCCACUUUGGAUCUCUCCUUAAUUUAUUGAAAUCCUAAAAUCCUUUUUGUAUUUGUCUGUGCAACCUCUUGGGUGUAACAUGUUUACUGUCAAAUAUGUUAAAGUAUUCUGUCUUAAUUCAUCCUCCAGAGAGUAUCUUCUGUAAAUUACAAAAAAAAAAAAAAAAAAGUCUUCUAGUUGUAACACUAUGGGAUUUGGUGGGAUAAAUUCAGCUCAAGCUUUCACAACACAAUAUUUAGCAGCUGCAAAGGAAAGGAAGACAAAGCUGCCAGGUUAUCCCCAGAAAAUCCCAAGACACAUAUUUUUAACAUUUGCAAUCUUAUUUACAUAAAUUUGUAUGUUCCAUUGAAAAGACACUGACUCCAAUUAUGUAAAAUAAAAUACUCAAUUCCCCUUUAUCUGAUGGUGAAUAAUCACACAUUCUAGGCCUUCAUGCCUGCUACCCAGGGUGAUUUCUUUGGCUUCUCUUUUUCUGCUCCAAGAGUUUCCCUCUUUCAUUCCUACCCUCUAAUAUAUUAUCAUUUUGUUCUUUUCGUAGUAGAGUUGGCCCCAAAAUAUUAGUUUUUCUAUUAUGAGCUCACCUUGGAAUCCUCUUUUUUAACAAAUCCCUCCUUUUCUCCAUAACAAGGAAACACUGCUCCACCCGCCCCUUCCCUCAAUUCAGCUUGGAGUACCAGUGUUUGGGUGGUAGAAAUCCCAUCUGGGUCCAGUUUUCAGCCUUACACAUGAGGGAAGGAUCCUGAGAAGAUUAAUAUAGAUGUCAAUAAUCUGACUCAAAUGCUGCCUUCCAUUGGCGCUUAUAAUUGAAGGUUGACUCACUUAUAUUUUCAAUGUCAUUUCUCCUCUCCAGGUGGAUGGAUGGAUAUCAGAGUUAUUGCAAAAUAAAUUCAUUAGAAUAAUUCACAGAAAGUGUAGGAAGCCCAGAAGCCAGAGCUUUGAGAAAAGAGAAAGCAAGAGUCUCCAUUGGGAGCAAUCUCACUCAACCCAAGACAGGCCUUGUGACAUGACACAGAAGGCUUACCUGCAAACCACUACUACAGGGGCACAGGAGGUCCAGAGAAUCAUACACAAAAAUAAUGUCACUGAACCAAGAGUGGUCAUAUAGCUCUUGAUUCACUUCUUUCCUCUGAAAAGCAUUCUAAAAAGUCACUCCCUAACAAUUUUAUGUGGUGGUUCAUGUUCUCUACCAGGUGUAGGAAACUGCUUUGUAAACUCAAGACCAUCUAUUGGAUUGAAAUGCAAUUUAGUCAAGAGUGACCUCUCAGAGGUACAUGGAUUUCUGACCUUAGCCUUUGAAAUGGCUUCUCUCCCUCCCCAUCAGCAAUGUAGUGGUCUAUUUGGGGCCCGUGUCAACAAAGUCAAAUAUGCAGGGCCAAGGGGACAGCAGCGGGGUCAAGCAGUGAAUGUUGGAACAGUGGCCAACAUAUUUUGUGACAUUCAGGGAGUGUUGUGUUGGUUGGUUGGUUGGUUUCAUAUUUGAGCCAAAUGCUACUCCUCUCACUUUGAACUGAAGUCAGCAGAAGAGAAGUGCAAACCUCCACUGACCACAAAGUACAGAAACACAGUCUAGGAAGCUGGGUGGUUCCCCUGCUGUGCCUGCAGAAUGCUGGCCAUGCUGAUGCAGGCGAGAGGAGGCUUCUUGUUCACUAGGGAUUUCACCCUCUGCCUGCAGUUGCCGGCAAGAAUUGCAGCCAGGGCAAAAUUAUCAGAAAUUCGCUGGGAAAAUAGAUUCAUCUCCUUUAAAAACUGCAAAAAUGGAUUCAGCCCACACUAUCCCACUUAAAGAAUUCUUAUUUUUUUUCUUCCUUUUCCAGUGACUAUGCUUCAUCCUAGAUGUUGGAUCAUGUGUGGUCUGAGGAUGCAUCAGUAGUAAAGGACAGGAAGGAGGUGGGGACCCUAGGAAUACUGUGCUCCUUCUGCUAAAGGUAUACCUGAAAAGUGUCCUUUAGCUACUCAGCAGAGUUCUGCUUUUCUUUUUGAAAUACACCACUUCCUUCUCCCAUUUAUUGAGUUAAGUGAAUUGGGAAUGUGUUUUCUCUAAACUUAAUAUUCAGUUUUUCAUUUAUUUAUUCAUUCAAUUUAUUUGUAUAUCUAAGAGUGCUUAGAUACACAGCAAACAAAAUAGGUAAAAAAAAAUUCUUACUCUCGUGAAUUUAUAUUCAAUUAUUUAAUCUUUAUGAUAGAUAGGCCACGAGGCAGGUCUGUUAUGGUGCCCUUUUCAGAGGGAACUUGCUAAAAGUCAUACAGCCAGUGGAAGGCUAAGUGGGGAAGUGAACCCAGUAGGCUGGCUCCAGAGAGCCCAUAUUCUUCCCAUCAGACUCUACACUCCCUGGUGGGACUGAUGGCUGUGACUUCUAGUUCAGAAGAACAGAAGGUCAGGCACACAUCUGUAAGUUUUAGAGGUAAAGUCUAUAAUCCACAAGAUGGUUUAAUGACAAAAAAAAAUUAUUUAAACAAAAUAUUGUGUGUGAAUUUCCCACUUUGAGGGUCAUACUUAAAUGCAAUCUGUUUCCUUCGAACAAGCUCUGAUAGGCAGGGGAGGAUCGGCCAAACAGCUGAAAGACCAGAAGAUUGGAGGAUGCCAUUGGUUUGCAAGUAGAGGCAGGUGCUGGGGUGAGGGAAUCUCAUAUCAAGAAUUCUCAAGCUCAAAAGUUUACCUCAGGCAUCAUUAGCACCAACCAAAUAGUUCACAUUUGGGAUUUUUCUCAGACAGCUUUAUGAGCUCAAUUUGAUUAUUUCACUUAAAUAAAAUCAAGAUAAAAGAUAAAAUAACAGUCAAUCUGCUCAAAGCAUACUGUUCAACAAGAAAUAGAGGCAUUCUUACUUUGCUUACUGGCUUCUCAAUCAGAGGGUUUGCAAAGCAAACUGGAGCUAGGCUGCUGUACACAGAAGGUUUCCAUUGUUGCUCCUGUAGUUAAGAAAACAGAGAAAGAGAUUUCAGGGACUUGGCUGACUUUCUGCUGCUGGGAGCCAUUUCCCUGCUGCUCACAAUAGUGCCUCAAGCACUUGAACUCCACAUUUGUCACUUGAAAUACCUGAGUCAGCGUUUUUGCAUAGCCCUUCAGUCUACAGCCUAUGCAAACCCAUUUAACCUUGUACAGAGACAGGUUACAAAACCACUUAUGACAUUCUGAAGGAAUUAAUAUACCCAUGUUGACAGCAAUUCAGGAUAUUUUCAGCUUUAUCUGUUAAGGUAUUUUUCUAGAACAUAAGUUAGAUUAAAAGAAUUUAAAAAAAAAAUGACUUUCCUAAUAUCUCAUUCCCUAAAAACAAUGACCACAGGUCAACCUCUGAUUUUUAAACCUUUGAUUCUGAAUGGGAUGAUUUCCAAAGUUCUUUACCUACUAUUCAGAAUCCUCCCAAAGAACUCUUACUACUUUUUCAACUUCAGCUCCAACUUAACCUUACAAUUUACCCAAUAACUCAUGCAAGACUGGUCAAUGUAUUUUUUUAAAUGGUCUCCAAUUUGUAUCUUUGUUUAUGCUGUUCCUGGUUCCUAAAAAUAUACUUCUUCAAUAUCUGCCUGUGAAUUCCUACCUGUCCUAUAAAGUCCAGUUCAACUUCCCUAGGAAACAUUUUCCUAUGUUCCUCCACUUCUGACUAGAGUCACAAUAAAUUUCUCCCUACCACAGAGUCCCAUGGUACUAUUCUUAGAGUACUUAUCACUAUGUGAGCCACCUGGGAUGAAAAUCAUGUUUCGGUAUUUCUUAGCCUUUAUAAUUUAGCACAGGGUAAUUUUUAAAAAAUUUCUAAUUAGAGUAAAUUUUCUUUGGUUAACUGAUCUCUUCCUGCAUGUCUUUAUUAAGAUCCAAUUGUCUCCAAUCCCAGUUCCAAUCUCACCACCCAUAUUUUUCAUCCUCUCUUUCAAUCUUGUUAGAAGAGUCAUCAAGAGGAAAAAAAAAAUGAAAAUUUAACUGUACAUAUCAACAAACCCCAUAAAAUAAAAAUGAACUUUAAUAAUAAAUCAGCAAAUAUUGACCCAUCCCCACCUCCUGCUGCUCAUUAAUUGGCUGUGUUAUUCGAAGUAAAGGAAGAUUUUUCAGUGAUCUUAGCAAAGGAAUGGAGUAUAAGCUUCUGGACUCUCUACUCCUGCUGUUACUAAUUAUCUUACCCUGCCCCCAAUGGGGCAAAUUACUUAUUCUCUCCACCAGGGUGGCCCUGCCUAUAAAUGUGGUUUGCAUUAUUUACACACAUCUCACAGGGUAUUUUGAGACUAAUUGCAGAGAUAUCCAUGGCCUAGAAAGGCAAAGCAUAACCCCUGGGGAGAGGGCCCUGCAAUUUACCCUUAAGAGAAGUCAUUCAAACCUCUGACUUCUUCCCAGAAUCUGAAAACAGGGGCUAUAGUUGGAUUCCUAAAGAUGUGGAUUGCUGUCCAUUAGGAGUUAAACCAAGACCAGCAACUCAUUUCGCAGGUCAUGUUCCAGCUGUCAAAGUGUAAUUACCAUCAAACCCCACUGGCGCAGGUUCCAACCAUAUUAGUGAAUGCAUGAAUGAAAGUUCCAAAAGAUCGAAUUACCAACUUCCACCUUCCAAAGAUAAAAGGACAUUGAAUGGCACCAGGGAAAAGGCCAAAUUAUGUCAACUUAAGACUACAAUUUUUUUUUUUUUUUUAAUGAAAAUAACAGUUGCCAUGUUGAUGAUAGGGAAACAUGAUUCUGUGUUGAGCAUGUCAAUCUGCAGAAGCAGUAGAUGAAUCUGAAGAACUUUGCCCUUUAGUCUGAGGCUUGUCCAGUUGCUAUGGCAACAUGUAACUAGCUUUCUCAGGAGGUUGUGCAUCCUGAUUUUCUUUAGACCAAACAAUCCCUUGAUAAGUUCACACUGGGUAUACUUAAGACCAAAACAGCACAGUAGUUGCAAAACAGAUUUCUUACUUGUAAAUUAUUUAUUUGGUGGCAAAAUACAUUAUGAGUCUGGACCACAUAGAAAGGUAACUUCUGAAAUAAUGGGUUCAUACGUAAGGCAUUAGACUAGUGGUAGGCAUACAGUUAUUAUUAAACAGUGUUUCCCUUUUCCUUUCCCUCCCAUCCUCAUUUCAGGCUUUCCCCAUGGGUUUUUAUUAUUCUGGUUUGGAUGACUGGCAUUAUUUACCUUUUGUUCCCCACUAACUCACCAUUUGCUGAAUAUGGGAGUCUGGAUGCUGAGGUUGGGCUUGGAACAAGGAGAGGAGUUACAGAAUUAGAGAAAGGUUGUUGAAGCCCCAGGCAUAUCAGCCAUCCUCUACAGAUCUCUGCAAAAUGAGAGCAAUUGUUGCCCCUGUAUCUUCUUCUCAUGAUAACUUCAGAGCACUUUAAAAUUGGUACACAACUUCUCAGAGAUUUCCACAUGAAAGGGGCUUAGGGUAAUUUUUCUAAGAUUAGCUCUUAAAAGAAGAAAAAGCUGUUGUGAAGACCUUGAACUGUAAUGACAACCUUUAGUGUUUAUCCUGGUGCCUGAAAUAUAAUGACAAUUCCUGGUACAAAAGGACAGAAAUAAUUUAGAUUUUUUUGAGGUGGAAAGAUAUGGGGAUCAUCUGAUAGGUUCUGCUAGAAUGACUGAGCAGUCCAGGUGGUGUCUGCUUAGGGAUACAUUGACUGAGGCAGCUCAAACAAUCCUACCUACUCAGAAGGAAAGAAAGUGUCCUUCCUCAGAAAUCUUGAUCUUAUACUGUAUAUAAAGAAGGGACAUUUAUAUCUAUCAAUGGCCCCACCCUGUUUUCCACACACCUUGAACCUUGGAACAAUUGUGUUCUAUUUUGAGAUGGAAGCAGCUUCUACCUGUCACUCAUUGUCUAUUGGGAGCAAACAUUUAUUGAGAUUUCUUGUAUCUGCAGAGUACUUUAAAAAUCUGUUAACAAAGCACUUCAGUUGCCCCUUCAACUGCUCAAAAGCCACAAACUGUUUCUGGGACCUAGAUGUGGAGGGAACUGUGACAUUUCAAACACACUGUGGGAAAAGAGGAAGGAGAAAGUUCCUGAAGCAGGAUGUGAUCUAGAUAACCGCCAUUGCCCCAGGCCCUGCUCUCAGGCCCCCUGCUCUGGUUGUGGUGGCCAACCAACAGGGAUUUGGGCUUGCUCCACCCAUUGCAGCUGGAGUUCCUUUCUUGGAAGGGUCAAGCACACAGAUGCAGAGGUGAGGUGGCCUUGGAAAAAAGAGGAGGACUGGGUGGAGGGCGUCUUGCUGUUGACUCACAGGGGCUUGACCAGACUUCCUCCCUUUUUCUACAGUUUUGGUGAACUUGAGUAAACUGUACAUACUGCUACAUUUUCCUCCUUCCUUUUCGACUAUUAUCACAGACAUUUGAGCAGUGAGAGAAGGUCACAGGGGGAACAGCUCACAAGCAAUCCUGUUUUUGAGUUUUCUAGGCAGGAUCUUGUUAGAGGCUAGCCUGCUUAUGCAUUCUCCAGCACCUCCCUUAGUACCCAUUUCCCUUAAAUGCUCUGCUAAAUUUUUGCAUUUAAAUUUCCAUUUCCUGUAUGUUUUACAUGCUGAUUUUUAAAAUGUCCCUUGGGCAUUUGCCUUUCUUCCCAAUGUUUUAUAUAUCUUCUGAACCACCUGUGCCUAUCACAAGGCUACCAUUACACAGAGCAUUAAAACAAAUACUGUUGCAACACUGCACGUUAGUGGGCUCCUGAAAGGAGGCACGUUCCCCUCACCAUCCCCGCGUGUCUCUGAGUUGCCUGCUGCCUUUGUCCAAAUGCAUGUGUGUUCAGCUAGAACACCACUUGGUAUCAUACCCCGGUGACCACUUACCAUCACAUGUUACAUGUUCUCUAUUUUUUUACAGUCUUUGGGUUUAUAAGAUUUAGCCACUACACAAUGUUCCCUCAACAAAGUAGAUUAGAUUGUGUUGAUAUCUUGAUUUAUAUUUCUGUUUUUUUCCAUGUAACUAAAAAAAAUUUUUCCCUGUCUUUUGAAUCAUUGUUUAGAGUAUGUUUCCAAAAAGACAUAAACAUUUUUACACCUUUGGUUAGUUACUAUGUAGUCAUUACUUUUCAAAAGGUUUGGAUAAGUUUCCACAGCUCUCUAAUACACAGCAUACAUACAUAGUGUACAUAUCGAAGUACAUUACUCAACACACACACAUUGACUCUUUUGUUUUCUUAACAGCAAACCCAUGAGGAAUCACCAUAAUUAACUUCAUAUUUAUAGAAGACACUAAGAGCCACAGAGGUUAAGUAAUUCUUUGUCAGAUGACCAAUGUCCCUUUUGGGGCGUCUUUGGCUUCAAGUGCCUGCUGUACCCAGUUCUUCCCUGGUUUCAGUGAGUAAUUGAUGACUCUUUGUCUAUCCUGUACUUCUUCAGCUUGUGUCACAGUGCAAGAAGGAAUGUGGAGUCAUAAACAUGGGAUCAACUUAUAGCUCUGCACUUACUAGCUGUGAGAUGCUGAGUAAGCUGCUGAACCUUGCUAAGCCUCAGUUUCCCCAAAUGUAAAAUGGGAUAAUACCUACAUCAUAGGCUUAUUUGAAGGAUUUAAAUUGAAAUUCAGCUCAGCAAAGAAACUUACAUUUUUAAAAAAUGCUAUUAUUUUUUCACUUAAAGAAAGUUUUUUUUUUUUGUCAUUAUUCCUUGUAUUAUUUUCCAGAGCAAACUAGCAAAUGUCUAGGAGUCUUUAUUAUAGUUUAGUAUGUAGAUUUCCUUCUCUAUUGUCAAUCAGCAAUCUAGAACUUAAUUUAAUUCAAUGCUGUUAGUAAGGAUUUUUAAUUAUUAGUAUUAACACAUUCUAAUUGUACAAAUUAAUGAAUUUCACUGUGACAUUUACAUACAUGCAUAUGUUGUGCCUAUAGAAUUUUUUUUAUUUUAAAAAUUUGUUCUAAUUAGUUAUACAUCAUAGUAGAAUGUAUUUUGACAUAUUAUAUAUAUAUGGAGUAUAACUUUUCAUUCUUCUGGUUGAUGUAGAAUUACAUUAGUUAUAUCUAUGAGAAUUUUUAUGUAAAAUAUUUAUAAGUAAACUAGAAUUUUAUCAAAACAUUUAAAUAAUGAUUGUAAUAAUUAUAAAAGCUACAGAUACAUUGUUUAGAAAUUUAUUAAAUAAGCUUAAACAGGCAUGUUUAUUUUUAAAUUAUAAGCAAUAUUCAACAUUUAUAUAUUAUAAAUCAAAACUAUAAAUAUAAAUUUAUUUAAAAUAAAACUUUUAUCAGGCACAGUGGUACACACCUGUAAUUCUAGCAUCUCAGGAGGCUGAGACAGGAGGAUUGUGAGUUCAAAGCCAGCCUCAACAACUUAGCAAUGCCCUAAGCAACUCAGUGAAACCCUGUCUCUAAAUAAUAUAUAAAAAAGGGCUGGGAUGUUUUGUUUAGUGGUUAAGCACCCCUGAGUUUGAUCCCUGGUACCAAAGCAAAACAAAACAACAACUUAUACCAUUAACAUUCAUAAAACUAAUAUUUAAAAUAUUUCUUAAAAGCAAUAAAUUAUGAGUUAAUUUAAUAAGCACAGGUUUAUGAAUGUCAAUGCUUUUAAAAUAAGUAUGUCUGCCUCUAAGGACCUUAUAAAUAAGUUAAUCAUGAUGCAGUAGAAAGCACUGUCCUCCUACUCUGAAGACCUGGAUUUGAAAACUGGCUUUGACACUUGAUAUGAAACCUUUUGGGGGUUCCACUUCUUCAUCAGUAAAAGUACUGUAUAGAGUACUUGCAUAUAAAUAUAAAUAUAUAUAUAUAUAUAUAUAUAUAUAUAUAUAUAUAUACACACAUACUUGAAUAUAUAAAUAUAUAUAUAAAUGUAUAUACACACAUAUAUAGUGAUAUAUAUAUAUAUAUAUAUAUACACACACACACACACACAUAUAGAUAAUACUUGAUGCAUAUAUACAGAGUACUUAAAUAUAUAUAUAAUCCAGUAAGGCAUUGUAUCUGAAAACAAUCACCAAAUUUCGAUACAUUUAAAAAGAGAUGUUUAAAAUUUCCUGAUCUUUUUGGAAUGCCAAAACCAAGUCAUGUGCUAGUUAUGCCACCCAAAAGUUCAUAGAACUGUAGUACAUACACUCUUAAGUCCUCCAGGAGUUAGAAAAGGUAAAUGAAAUUAAAAUGUGAAGCUACCAAUUCAAACAUGAGAAAACAUCACACAGGAGAAAUAUUUCUCCAUAGUUUCCAAAUGUCUCUGAAGGUCAACUUCAUACUGGAAAUGAUCCCAAAAGUAUGAGCUCUAGAGGGUUCAAAUCUAAAUCAAUCAUAAUAACAGUGAUUUCAACAGGAGGGAGGGGGACAGACAAUGGGAGGGAGGGAACCAAAUGUGCUACAACCUGUGACUCUAUAUAUUGGAACAAUUUGGAGACCUGCGCCGAAUUCGGGUAAAGUUAUGAAUGGAUCAGAGGCAAGUUAUGGGUUAGGUCCCUUCAAAAUUCAUGUGCUGAAGUCCUAAUCCAUGUAGUACACCUCAUGAAGUGGAUGUAUUUGGAUGCAGAGUUUAAAGUGGUAAUAAAAUGACAUCAUACGAUGCACUCUAAUGCAAUUUGACGGGCACCCUUAAAAAGAGAUUAGGAUAAAAAUACAUGCCUAGGGAAGACAACGGGAAGAGACAGGGAGAAGACAGCUGCCUACCAGCCAAGAGGGGAGGCCUCAGAAAGAAUCAACCCUAUCUAUACCUUGAUUUCAGACAUCUGGCUAAGAAGAGGCUUGAAGAAAUGAAGGAAAAAAUUUAUUAUAUAAGCCACCCAGUCUGGGUACUUUGUUAUGGCAUCCUUACAAAGUAUUCUAGCAAAUAAGAGCCUCAAUGUCAAUGGGAAGGGCUUUAGGGGCAGAAGUCAGUCAGCGUAGAAAAGAUUGCCAAAUGGAUUGAGAGGGUGCUGCAGUGACCAGCGACAAAGGUAGGGUUUGCACAACAGCACUGAGCAGGCAUUGAGGACAUAAAGGUGUACAAGAUGCUGUCUUACCCUCAAGGGCUCCCCAAGCCUAGGAGGGGAAAGGUAAAUAAGUAAUAUUUAAGGUGGUAGUAAAGAUUUAGGAUAUCUCUAUAGUAUAGUUUAAAGUCUGGUAUUGGGAUGCCUCCUGCUUCACUUUUCUUGCUAAGGAUUGCUUUGGCUAUUCUGGGUCUCUUAUUUUUCCAAAUGAAUUUCAUGAUUGCUUUUUCUAUUUCUAUGAAGAAUAUCAUUGGGAUUUUAAUAGGAGUUGCAUUAAAUCUGUAUAACGCUUUUGGUAGUAUGGUCAUUUUGACAAUAUUAAUUCUGCCUAUCCAGGAGCAUGGGAGAGCUUUCCAUCUUCUGAGGUGUUCUUCAAUUUCUUUCUUUAGUGUUCUGUAGUUUUCAUUGUAGAGGUCUUUCACCUCUUUUGUUAGAUUGAUUCUCAGGUUUUUGGUUGUUUUUUUUUUUUUUGAGACUUGUGUGAAUGGGGUAGUUUUCCUAAUUUCUCUUUCAGUGGAUUCAUUGCUGAUGUAUAGAAGUGCAUUUGAUUUAUGGUGUGAUUUUAUAUCCUAUUACUUUGUUGAAUUCAUUUAUUAGUUCUAGAAGUUUUCUGGUGGAACUUUUUGGAUCUUCUAGAUAUAGAAUCAGGUCAUCAACAAAAACUGAUAGUUUGAGUUUUUCUUUACCUAUUUGUAUCCCUUUAAUUUCUUUCUUUCUGUCUAAUUGCUCUGGCUAGAGUUUCAAGGGUGAUGUUGAAUAGAAGUGGUGAAAGAGGACAGUCUUGUCUUGUUCCAGUUUUUAGAGGGAAUGCUUUAAAGUUUUCUCCAUUUAGAGUGAUGCUGGCCUUGCAUAUAUAGCUUAUACGAUCUUGAGGUACGUUCCUACUAUACCUAGUUUUUCUAGUGUUUUGAACAUGAAGGUGUGCUGUAUUUUGUCAAAUUCUUUUUCUGCAUCUGUUGAGAAGAUCAUAUGAUUCUUGUUUUUAAGUCUAUUAAUAUGAGAAGUUUACAUUAAUUGAUUUCCAUAUGUUGAACCAAUCCUGCAUCCCUGGGAUGAACCCCACUAGAUCAUGGGGCACUUUUUAAUACGUUUUUGUAUGCGAGUUGCCAGGAUUUUAGAAUCUAUAUUCAUUAGGGAUAUUGGUCUGAAGUUUUCUUUCCUUGAUGUGUCUUUGUCUGGUUUUGGUAUCAGGGUGAUAUUGGCCUCAUAAAAUGAGUUUGGAAGGGUUCCCUCCUUUUCUAUUUCAUGGACUACUUUGAAGCAUUUGAUGUUAAUUCUUCUUUGAAAGUCUUGUAGAACUGAGAAUCCAUCUGGGUCUGGGCUUUUCUUGGUUGGUAGGCUUUGGAUGGCAUUUUCUAUUUCAUUACUUGAAAUUGAUCUGUUUAAAUCAUGUAUGACCUCCUCAUUCAAAUUGGGUAGAUCAUAUGUCUCUAGAAAAUUGUUGAUGUCUUCGAUAUUUUCUAUUUUAUUAGAGUAUAAAUUUUCAAAAUAUAUCGAAUUAUCUUCUGUAUUUCAGACAUGUCCAUUGUGAUACUUCCUUCUUCAUCUCAUUUUUUAGUAAUUUGAGUUUUCUCUCUUUUUUUCUUCAUUAACAUGGCUAAGGGUUUUUCUAUUUUACUUAUUUUUUAAUUUUUUUUUUAGAAAUUUAUUGGUUGCUCAAAACAUUACAUUGAUCUUGACACAUCAUAUAUCAUGCAUUUGUUUCAAAUGGGGUAUGAAUUCUUAUUAUUCUCCUGUGUACAGAUUGCAGAAUCAUGUUGAUUAUACAGCCACGUUUAUACAUACUGCCAAACAAGUGUCUGUUGUAUUUUCUAUUUUACUUAUUUUUUUUCAAAAAAACAACUUUUUGUUUUGCCAAUUUCUUCAAUUUUCUUUUGUUUUGAUUUCAUUGGUUUCAGCUUUGAUUUUAAUUAUUUCCUGUCUUCUACUGCUUUUGGUAUUAAUUUAUUCUUCUUUUUCAAGGGUUUUGAGAUGUAGUAUUAGGUCAUUUAUUUGUUGACUUUUAUUUUUUUAAUGAAUGCUUUCAAUGCAAUAAACUUUCCUCUUAGUACUGCCUUCAUAGUGUCCCAGAGAUUUUGAUAUGCUGUAUCAGUGUUUUCAUUUACCUCUAAGAGUUUUUUUUAUUUCAUCCUUGAUUUUUUCUAUUAUCCAUUCAUCAUUGAAUAGUGUAUUAUUUAGUCUCCAUUUGUUAGAGUAGCUUCUAUUUUUUUUUUAUUUUGUCAUUGAUUUCCAAUUUUAUUCAAUUUUGAUCUGAUAGAAUGCAGGGUAUUAUCUUUGUUUUUUUGUAUUUACUAAGAGUUGCUUUGUGGCCUAAGAUAUGGUGUAUUUUAGAGAAGGAGCCAUGUGCUGCUGAGAAGAAAGUACUUUGUUUGUUGAUGGAUGAAAUAUUCCAUAUAUGUCUAUUAAGUCUAAAUUAUUGAUUAUAUUAUUUAUUCUAUAGUUUCUUUAUUUAGUUUUUGUUUGAAAUAUCUGUCUAGUAGUGAGAGGUGUGUUACAGUCACCCAGGAUUAUUAUGUUGUGGUCUAUUUGAUUCUUGAAAUUGAGAAGAGUUUGUUUGAUGUACAUAAAUGCUCCAUUGUUUGGGGCAUAAGUAUUUACAAUUUUUAUGUCUUGCUAAUAUAUAUUUACCUUAAGAAGUAUGAAAUGUCCUUCUUUCUCUCUUCUGAUAACUUUGGCUUGAAGUCUACUUUAUCUGAAAUGAGGAUGGGACUACCUGCUUGUUUAUGCAAUUCAUAUGAAUGAUAUGUUUUUUCCCAUCCUUUCACCUUCAGCCUGUGGAUGUCUUUGUCCAUGAGUUAAGUCUCUUGAAGACAGUAUAUUGUUGGGUCUUGCUUUUUAAUCCAAUCUGCCAGUCUGUGUCUUUUGAUUGAUGAGUUUAGGCUAUUAACAUUCAAGGUUGUUAUUGAGAUACGAUUUGUAUUCCCUGUCAUUUUGACUUAUCUCUGGUUUUUAAUUUGACACAGUUUCUCCUUUAGUUGAAUAUUCCUUUAGUGUGGAAAUGGCAUGGUAUUGGCACCAAAAUAGACAUGUAUAUCAAUGACACAGAAUAGAGGACACAGAGAAAAAUACAAAUACAAUUAUCUCAUACUAGACAAAGGUGCCAAAACAUUCACUGGAGAAAAGAUAGCCUAUUCAACAAAUGGUGCUGGGAAAACUGAAAAUCCAUAUGUAGCAAAAUGAAAUUAAACUUCUAUGUCUCACCCUGCACAAAAAUUUACUCAAAGUGGAUCAAAGACUUAGGCACUAGAACAGAGACCCAUGCCUAAUAGAAGAAAAAGUAGGCCCAAAUUCUCACCAUGUCAGCCUAGGAUCUGACUUUCUUAACAAGAUCGCUAAAGUGCAAGAAGUAAAAUCAGAAUAAAUAAACUGAAUGGAUUCAAAUUAAAAAGCUUCUUCUCAUCAAAAGAAACAAUCAAUAAUGUGAGGAGAGGGCCUACAGAUUGGGAGAAAAUCUUUGCCACAUGUACCCCUGAUAAAGCAUUAAUCUGUAGGAUAUAUAAAGAACUCAAAAACAAAAAAAAACCCUAAUAACCCAAAUGAGCUAAGAAACUGAACAGACACUUCACAGAAGAAGUAAUACAAUCAAUCAACAAAUAUAUAAAAAAGUGUUCAAUAUUUCUAGCAAUUAGAGAAAUGCAAAUCAAAACUACACCAAGAUUUCCUCUCACUCCAAUCAUAAUGGCAAUCAUCAAGAAUCCAGGCAACAAUAAAUGUUAGGAUGUAGGGGCAAAGGUACACUCAUACAUUGCUGGUGGGACUCAAAUUGGUGUAACCACUAUGAAAAGCAAUUUGAAUAUUCCUCAGAAAACUCAGAAAAGAACCACCAUCAACCCAGUUAUUCCACUCCUCAGUUUAUACCCAAAGGACUUAAAAGCAACCUACUACAGUGAUACAGCCAUGUCACUGUUUAUCACAAUUCAAUUCACAAUAGUUAAGCUAUGGAACCAACCUAGGUGUCAUUCAAUAGAUGAAUAGAUAAAGAAAAUGUGAUUAUAUAUAUAUAAAAUAUUCAAUGGAAUAUUACUCAGCUUUAAAGAAGAAUGAAAUCAUGGCAUUUGCCAGUAAAUGGAUGGAGUUGGAGUAUAUCAUGCUAAGCGAAAUAAGGCAAUCCCCCCAAAAUUAAAGGCCAAAUGUUUUCUCUAAAAUGUGGAUGUUAAUUCACAAUAAGGGAAGGGGCACUAGAAAAGAAUAGAGUUACCUUAGAUUAGGUAGAGGGAAGUGAAGGGAGGAGAGGGGAUGUGUGGGUAGGAAGGAUAGUAAAACAAAUCAGACAUUAUUACUGAAUGUAUAUAUGUGACUACAUGAUCAAAAUGAUUCUACAACAUGUACACUCAGAAAAAUGAGAAAUUAUAUCCCAUCUAUGUAUGAUAUGUCAAAGUACAUAAAUGUGUUCUACUGUCAUGUAUAACUAAUUAAAACGAGUACAAAAAUUAAAAAUUAAAAAAGAUUAAGGAUUAAAGCGUGCAGUGGAAGGAAAGGAGGUGCAUUCAUCCUCCAACCCCUGAGGAAGAAUCAUCUGUCACUGGGAGACUUCCAGCAGGAGGUGUUGUGCAUGCUGAAUUUAAGGGAACAGCAUCAAAGCCAGGCGGACAAAGAUGGGUGGAAUGGGGAGGGAAGGUCAGGGAUAUGCAAAGAGAUUUAUGGUGCUCAAAAAAGAGGAACUAUCAUGGGCACAAAAAUAAGCAUGGAAUUUAAAAAAAAUUUAGUUUUUGUGCACACCACAAAUAGUUUGGUUUUAUUUAUUUAUUUAUUUAUUUAUUUAUUUAUGACAGCAAAAUGCAUUACAAUUCAUAUUAUGCAUAUAGAGCACAAAUUUUUCAUAUCUCUGGUUGUACACAAAGUAUCUUUAGAUCUUGCAGAAUGAGACUGGAUGGUGGUAAGUGGAACAGCAGAGACAGGCAGGAAAGGCGCCUUUCUUUUAGAACAAGGUUUGAAUGGAUCAUUUGAUGAACAGACAGAGGGAUGCAAGAGACAGAAGAGUGUAAACUGAGUAACUGUUUAGGCUGCAGUUGCCACAAAGCAGGGAAGACAAGAAAUGCUUGAAUACCUAAAUUAGUGAAGUAGCAGAAAGGCUACAGAAGGGGCCACAGACUUAAGAAAUAAUAUGGAGUUAAAAUUAUCAGAAUGUAUACAAGAGUUUAAAGGAGGAAGGUGUAAGAAUUAUUGCUGACAAGUUUCUAGGAGGCCAGGGAGUGGAGACAAGGACCACAGACCAAGAAGGGGAAGACAUGGGAGGGAUCCAAUGAGGUUCAAAAAGGAUAAAUUGCUUGGAGUAAGGUAUGCCUUAGUGACAAAAGGCACAAAGAAUACUCAUCACUUUAGAUCUUUUAGUUUAAAUAUAUCACUUUAAUGUAAAUGCUGAACUACAUUUAGCCUUAACCUGCCUUCCUAUCUGUACUGGAUCUUUUUGCUACAUCCAAGAUUUUCUAUCGUCUCCUAGUCUCCUAUGUAUACAUUAUGCUUAUUUGCAACUCACUUCUUCCUGGUACCUUUUUAGCCCUUCUUCAUCCACCCUGGUUCUACCAUCUACUAUGUGCAGGACCUUCAGAAAGCUGUGAUAUUUUUCCAAACCUUAAACUUCCUUGUGUACAAAGUGGGGAUGAUAAUACCCAUGGAACUAGGUCAUUGGGUAGAUUAAAUGAAAUAAGCACAGGAGACCACAGGAACAUUGGAAAGAAGCUCUCACCCAGACUUGUAGAGAGGAGUGAGGGUGAGGGGAAUGGAGACAUCUUCACACAAGUGGCAGCCCCCACUUCUGUCUACACUCACUCAGACAUAUCUCUUCUUUGGACGUUGGGAAGCUUCUUCACUCUUGCUCCCACAGAUCUCUUCGCCAUUCCACACCUGUGAUGCUCCAACUCUAUUUUCUUCCCUCUUAAAACAAACACUUCACCGGGUGUAGGGGUUAAGGAGGCAGAGGCAGGAUGAUAGUGAGUUCAAAGCCAGCCUCAGCAAUUUAGCAAGGCCCUAAGCCACUCAUUGCCAUAUUGGUCAGGAGGGGUAGGAAAAGGCCCGAGCUAGAAGGGCCUUUUUAAUAUUAUAUUUAGAGACGGGGUCUCUAAAUAUAAUAUUAAAAAGGGCUGAGGAUGUGGCUCAGUGGCUAAGCGCCCCUGGGUUCAAUCCCUGGUAUCAAACCAAAUGAAACAAAACAAAAUAAAACAAAACACUUCAGAGGUUCACACUGCUCUUAGAUGCCCCCUCUUGACCAAUAUGGCACCAUUUUUCUUUCCUUUCAGUAUCUGAAAAGUCAAGAUUCUCUCCUGCUACAGAACUUUUGAAAAGAACAGUUCUCUCUCCCAGAAAAAGCUCAGCCACCUCUGGGCACCUACUCCUCACUUCCCUCUCUAAGUGGAUCUGAUUUUCCCUUCUAUGUGUGGCUCAACUGUCAUUUCUAUUGGGUUCUAUUCACCUCCUUCUUCAUCCCCAUUCCACAAAGUAUUUCUCUUCUGGAACCUCUGUGAGAGUUGCAGUUGAUCUGUGCACCUUUUUGCAUGUGUUUGUGUGACUUUUACUCAGACAGCACAUAUUGUCUUCAUUCCCCAUACAUCUGAUAUGCACAUGACAUAGCACAGGCAUUCAGCAAAUAUUUCUUGAGUAAAUAAAUGAAUAGUUAAAUAAACAAAGGGAUGAAUUCCUGUGAUAAUUCUUAAAAGACAAGUAAGAGAGGGGCAGGCAAAGGAAAUAGGACAGAGUUUUCCAGGCAGUGGGUAAAUAUGCACAUACAGAGGGAUGUAAACUUAUUUGAGUAAAUGCAAAUUGUCUGAAAGGUCAUACUGUGCACAGGAGACUGGUAAUGUGGGCAGGGCCAAACCAUGGAGGACCUUGAGAAUCAUGAAGAUGUGAAGAGCAAGAAAGGAUCAUCUGGAUUGGUUAUGUGUUCUACAAGAAUCACUUUGGGAUCAUGAUGGAGAAGAAUGUGAAGCGGGAGACCAGGAGAUCAGGCAGGGUCUUGGGAGGUAUAACAAGGUGGUAGCAUUUGGGGUUGGACAAAAGAGGUCAGAGUCAGGAGAAUUAAUCUUUUGCCCUCAUCACAGCUCAUAUUGAAAUAAAAUGUUCUUUCACAGGACAUGGUUCUGGGCUUGUACUUCACAAAUGCCCUAUCUCCUACAUGUAUCCAGGUCCAGGUUGUUAGUAUUGUGUCUCUAUGGUCCCAAAUAAAAGAAAAAAUGGAAUGGAAGUGCCUCUAGAAUAUGGUGGAAGAUGGGAAAGUUGUCAUUCAAUGACAUAAAAAGCUGCAUAUUCAUUGGGAAAGCUGAGCUUCAUCUUAUCUUUUAGAAUAAGGUGUGCUACUUUUGUUCCAUGACAAAUUAACAACAUGUGAACAGGUGGUAUGAAUGAAUAAUCGAUGUAUAAAUAAAUUAUAGUAGCACGCUUCUGGAUGACAUUUUGGCAACAAUUUACCUUCACUGUUAGCUCUUUCAGGGCCAGCUGUCUGGGUGCAUGACCUGUGCAGUCGCACAGGACUAGGCACUCAGAAGGGCCCCAGGUUUGGCAUGCUCCUGCCUUGUUGCCAUUUUUAAAUUCUAAAUAAUUUAAUCUUUAAACUCUGUUUUACAGAUGGAAGCCCUAUGGGACAAGGGAAGAUGCAUAGAAUAGAGGAGGUGAGCCUGAUACAUGUGACUAUUGCCCUCUCUCCAUAUCAUUUGCAACUCAUGUUUGCCAUGUUCCAUGAGCACAGAAUUCCAGGGGAACCAGGAUGCACAGGAGCUCAGAGAGACUGAAAGCAAGUACAGGU
rnacentral:lncRNA from 1 species